CUAUUAAACCACCAAUUCAUCCAAAAGCUUAAGCUUGUGGUUGAAGGCAAAUUUAAUUAUAUAUCACCAACACUCCCCCUCACUUGUGGGCUUGAAAUAUCUGAAAGGCCCAACAAGUGGAAAUUGAUUUUAAUUGGGGAGGAAACGACAAUACAGGGGCUUGAACACAGGACCUCCCUGGACCACCUGCUCUGAUACCAUAUUAAACCACCAAUUCAUCCAAAAGCUUAAGCUUUUGGGUGAAUCGGUGAUUUAAUAUGGUAUCAGAGCUAUAGGGUUUUAGUCUCCUUGUAUUCUAGCCGUCACAUCCCCGCUCGUCUGCCUCCGUUGAUUCGUCGACGGAGGCAGAGCCAUACCCAUCAGUAAUCAAUACACAUCAUGUCUCCAAGUAAUUCGCUCUGCCUCCUAGAUCAAAAUCCUCGUCUCUGAUUCUGCUGCCGCCGCCACUACUCCUUCUGCCAUCACUGCUCCUUCCAUCCACCCAGUUCGUCGCACUCUCGACCCAGUUCGUCGCACUCUCGACCCAUAUCCGCUCUCCAUUCGUCCUCACUUAGAUCUACUUGUGCGCACAUUGCAAGCACCGAUUUGUUCGUGCAUCUCUGUUCGUGUCUUCGACUUCCAGAUCCGUGUUUUAUUUCAUCUUUCGCCUUCGAAUCAUACUGUUCAAGAUCAGACCGACCUGCCGCCGCCGCCCUUUACUCGUACCAGACAAUCUCUUUAGAUUGAAGACUCCCGAUCCUGAAGAGGGUGAAUCUUUGUUCAGAUCCAUGAUCCACCGCUCCGCUCCACUCACAGCCGACGACGCACAGGUUCGGCUUUGUCCGCUCUCCAUUUGUGAAGCUCGCCGUCAUGAAACGCAUCUUCUCUUUUUGCGAAGAACGCCGCAAAGUUCUCUAUCUACUCAACCUCUCAGUUCUCUUCAGUUUUCGUUCUGUUCAUCCAGAUUUCCUGUUCAGUUUGAUUCUGACUUGCUUUAGUUUAGUUCGUUCAGUUCCAUUCUGAUGACGAAACGCUCCUGCCCAAUUCAGACCACGUUUUCAUCCUGAUUUGAUUCUACUUUGCUUCAGUUUUGCUCUUUCAUUUUGCCCCCGGAGUUCUUGUUUCGUUCUUCCUAGGUUCUGUUAUAGAUCUCUAUACGAGGAUCUAUGUUUCUAUCCCAGAAGUUCUUCGUUUCGCUCUUCGUGGGUUUGUUUUAGCCUAGAAGUUCUUUUUGUGUGUUUGUUCUUCGGGUUUUUUAUUCUAUUCUAGAUAUAUUGUUUCUUUUCUUAGUUCUUAGCAAACUCAAGUUUGUGAUUUCAACCUUGAGUUUGAGGGAGGGUAUUAAUAUAAUUAGAUUAUUCUUAGGAGAUAUUAUUCUUAGGAGAUAUUAUUCUUAGGAGAUAUUAUUCUGGAGAUAUUAUUUGAUAUUAUUUCCUUAAGUGUAUUUCUCUAUGGUUAUAUAUAGGCUUGUAUCUCUAUUAAGUAAUUAAUGAAAUAUAGAUUAAUUCCAUAAAAUCAACAUAGGCCACACAAGACUAAGUUGCUUGUACCAUAUUGGAAAUUCCUGAACUAGUUUAUUAGAAAAAGAGAGUAGUCGAGUAGUGGUGUUUACAAAAAAGUGAAUUUAAGCCUCUACUUUUUCAGAAUUGUGAAUAGUUUAUUGACCACCUACUCAAUGCUUCUAAGUUUCUCAGCAGACACUAGACAUAAAAAAAUGCACUUUAUACCUAUUAUUAGAUAAUUAAGUUGUAGUUGAAUAUGUUAUGAAUUAAAAUGAAAGAUCUUAUAUUUAGGUACAACUCAUUCAAUAUUUUAAUUUACAGAAAAUAAAAGAAAGUUGAAUAUGAAAAAAGUAAUGAGUUUUUGGAAAGAUUUAAAAAAGUAAGAAGAAUCAAAGUUGUGUAACGUGAGGCAGACGGGGGUAAGGCUACAGCGGUCAGUCCGUUGCUGUCAAAUAACAUUCCGACGUGUCAACGUUGAACCAGGCAGGUCACUAUGUGUGUGCUGGUGAGCUAAAAUGAUGCCACGUACAGGGCCGUGGCGAAAGAAAAAAAAAAAAAAAAGGAUUUUUGGGUGAAAGAGGUUAGUCUGGGUGGGACCGGUGUUGUGUCGUUCAUGACAAGCCUGGCGUGGAAGUUUCUGAUUGAUCUACUAGUAUCGUCCUGGCAAGAUGGGCCUCCACUUUUCGAGCACUUUUGACACGUGUCCACGGGGGAAAAUUCUCGCGAUACGAGAAAUUGACUGGAAAGGGAAAAGGAAUUAGGGAAAGAGGAUCGUCAUGAGUACCACGUGUCUUCACAACAUGAAAUAGAGGUCGGAUGUAGACGGGUGGGGCAGCCUGUGUAGCUGCCCGUAGAAUUAGAGUUGCCCGAGAGUUUCUCUUUUUUUCUUGCUGCUCCACGAAGAACCAAGGCUCGGAAAGUUCCCCCACAGAGGAAAACCGCGACACGUUUUCUUCUGAGCGAAAUUCCGCACACCAUUUCUUUUGCCAGCUUCAUAUUAACACUUCCUUCGAUAUGAUUCUUCUCACCCAGAGCUAUUUCACCGCCAGUUCCUGCUUCGGUCCAUUCCGAUGACGGAAGUUCACUGUAGUAUGCCUAGCGGAGAUGAUGAAGAUACGCCGGCCAAAUGCCGAGAGCGCCGGCGCCGUAGAAUAGAGAUGAGACGGUUAGCAACAGUAUCGUCGGCGAAUCCAUCGCCUUCUACCGCUCAUCACCAGAAAGAGAAUCAAACUGGUACUUCCGGUUUUGAGAAGAAGCGUGGUCAGAAAACGGACGGCGACGGUAAUCCGGAGAUUUCAUCGUCUUCGUCAUCGGGGGAGGACGUGAAAACUGUGAGAGCUUCACCAUCGGUACCCCAGCCGGUUUUUGGGAUGAUGUCGGUUUCAGGGAGGUCACGUGAGAUGGAGGAUGCAGUAUGUGUGAGCACGUGCGUUCUUGGUUCAGAAAAUUUCCGACGGCAAGUGGUGCAUUUCUUCGCCGUCUACGAUGGACAUGGAGGCCCUCACGUAAAGCCCUAAUAGUAAAGUUUAGAAUUUAUUUUCCCAGUAAAUAGAUAAUAAUUGCGCAGUUCAAAUUACCAUUGAGGACACAUUGAAUCAUUCUCUACAACCCAGGGGAGUGAGGUUAUUACCGUCAUUGUCAUGCUCUAAUUUGCUUUGCUUUGUUGGAUGGGACAGGUGGCAGCAUUAUGUAGGGAGAAGAUGCACGUGUUCGUACAGGAGGAAUUUUCGCGCGUUAUUAGCACUCGCGGGGAAAAUGAGAGUGGCGGCGGCGGAAGUAGCGCGGGGGAGGAGGUUAAGUUUGAGGAGGAGGCGACUUGGAGAAGAGUGAUGCGGCGGAGCUUUGAGAGAAUGGACGAAGUGGCACUCAGUACUUGUGCCUGUGGGAGCGUCGGAGGUCAGUGUGGUUGCCAUCCCAUGGAGGUGGCUCUAGGCGGUUCUACCGCCGUCGUCGCUGUGCUCACGCCGGAUCACAUAAUAGUCGCCAACUGCGGCGAUUCACGCGCCGUCCUUUGCCGAGGAGGGACAGCCAUUCCGCUUUCUAUUGAUCACAAGGUUUACUCUAUCUCGCUACUGACCUGUAAUGAUCUGUUUGCUGGACACGUGCUAUGCUGUCAAUUUUGGGGAGAUGAUAACUCCCAAGGAUUUGUUUGUCUAAUUUUGGUGCUAUCUUAUUGUGGGGUUGGAGUUUAUAUCUUGCUUUAGUUUGAGAUUGAUUAGGUUUCCCUUGGAUUCUCAUUCGUUUGGCCAUUUUAUUCUUCUGUUUUUUCCCCCAAUCUUUACCGCUCUUGCAAAUUAUGUCCCAUCCUUUAACAGCUAUAUCAGUUCGUCUGAUUUAUGUUAUGGAUAGUUAUCCUCACGUGCCAUUAUUAUUGUUACGACACUUGUUGCUUUGGCUGUGGCUAUAGAGAUCCUGGCCUCCUUUUGUUGCAAUUAAUUCUUUGGGUCCCCUUUUCUAACUAUUUCUUCGCCAUACUUGUAUCUGUGCGGAAUUUUCGUAAACCAAAAACCUAAUGGUCACCAAACAGGUUUUAGCUCUUCGAUUCAAGUUUAAAUGUAUUUCCACUCUUGCAUCUAUGCCGGGGAAAAAGUGGUUGGUUAAGUGGAAUGAAGAAACUUUACAUGUUUAUAACUUUCUGAAAAUGUGUGUAAUCAGAACUGUUUGAUAAGUUACCAUAAACUAUUUGUUAUUAUCCACACUGUUCCGUGUGUGUUUGGAAGUGUUGUAUGAUGGGUUGGGCUUAUUCCUAUGUGAUUAGAAGUUGAGACUUUAACCUUGCUGCUUAUAAAUGUUCUUGUUCAGUAAUUCCACGGAGUUGGCUUUUGUUUCUGUUGUUUAAAUGUGUUUUAGAGGCCUAAGUCAUGUGAGUUGGUUUCCUGUGAUCAUUCACCCCAUACUCUUCCACACAGUUUUCCAAUAGAGUAUUACAUUUUAGAUGGAUAGAAUAUGGGUAACCUGUAUGCUGGCUCCGGCUUUUAUUUCUGAGUGUGUUCUAGUAGUUUUGGUCUAUUUAAUUUCCGUGUGUUCUUUUACUGUAUGUUUUCCAGCAGUAGUCUCAUGAUGGUCAUAUGAUACUUCCUCACAAUUUUCAUAACCUUACACACUCAGCCUGAUAGAAAUGAUGAGCUAGCAAGGAUUGAAGCUGCUGGAGGACGGGUGAUUUUCGUAAAUGGAGCCCGUGUUGAAGGAAUCCUUGCCAUGUCCCGUGCGAUAGGUAAUAACUACUGCUCCUAUGAAUGAUUGUCAUAUAACUUUAUUUGCUUUUUUGAAGUUGCUUAGACAUCCUCAAUGAAUUUCCGUUUCUUGAUUAUUGUGUGUGAUCUGAAUAAAUCUGAUUUUGCUUCUUCUCACCCCACGUCUCAUCUUGAAGCAUUGAGCUUGAUGAAGCCUUGUGAUACUUCGGAAAUUGGUUACCUGACAACAUUUCAUUUUGUGGCAGAAAUGUGAAGUAUAUGAUUUGUGAAGGAAAAUGCAUUUGUUGCAUUUUCUCAUCUACAAAUUGUUGGAUCAUUGAAUGGUAGUGAAUAAAGGCAAAAAUUUAUCAGUGUCUUUGUAGAAGACCUUCUUAAACUUGGAAUGUCUAAGGCUAAAAUAUCUUUGUUUUUUUUUUUUUCUAAAAGAAAACGUUCAGUCUUCCAUGCCCUUAAAAAACCAUUUUUCUCUUUAAGAAAUUUGAUUCAAUGGGAUGAGUUAUUUUCUUCGAGGAAAUUAUAUGUACUUUAAGAAAUUUGAUUCAAUGGGACGAGUUCUUUCCUGGGAGGAAAUUAUAUGCAACUGUUGUCAGGAAAAAGAAAACAGAGUGAUAAUAAUUAGGUGCAUAACAUAAUAAUCAAGACAUUAAACCAUCAACAGUUUUCCUUUGUCCUAGAACUUUGUCACUCUGGGGUUGUAUGCUCACACUGCAAUGUAUUUACGGCUUUGACGUGAUGAAAGUAGAAAAAUCUCAACAAAUGAGUUUAAGGAUCAAGAAUAAAUUUUCUUUGUGAGAAUCUCAAUAAAAAAAUGUCCUGUAAUUUAGAAACACUUUUUUUUUUUCUGUUCGAGGAACCAUUUCAAGAGUUUGAAGCCUCAGAUCCUUCAAUAUGGAUUCUAACUUCAUGCAACUUGAAUGACCUUUAUAACGAUACCAGUUGAGGGAUCUUUUCCUCUUGUGAUGAAAUACACAAUCGGCAGAGUAAAGAUUUCGAAAAUCAAUUUGUUACUGUAGCAGAAUCCUGCAGAAUCAUGUCAUGUUGGCAAGUAUCCCUGUUGGUUGGUCAUUCACUUCAUUUUUUUUGUUAAAUCAAUGAUGUUAUCUUACUGUACUUUCAUCAACAUGUCGUUCUCUGCUGACUGCUAUGGAGAACAUUUUGCUACAUUUCUACUUCAUUCGAUUGUGUGUGUACAGUUAUAUAGUUUUCUUUUCUUUGAUUUCCAUGAUAAAUACUUGGAUUUGGCAAGAGAGGGAGUGUAAGUGAUGUGUUUAUUUGACAAGAAAUGAUUGGUUUAAUGGAUCAUUCUGAGCAAGUAUAGGGUGAUUGAUGAGGAUAUGGUAGGAUAUAGCCGGUGGACAAAUCUUGUGACAACUAUGUCAGUUGGUUUUAAUGUUGGCUUGUUGUCUGUCUGAACUACUUCGCAGUUGGUCAAUAACUAUGAUGAAAAUUAUUAAAUAGUUUAGAUUCAAGACCUUUUGGAUUGGAGCCCUGCUCUUCGUUUCUACAUUUGGUUUUUGCUUGUCUCCUAUUAUUUGGCUUUUCUUUAGUGUACAGGGUAUUUUCCAUCAUAAAAAAGAUAAGUUUAUAAACUAGUCCCUGAACUUUUGGUUCUUAAACUUUCUAACUAUCUAAUAGGUUCUCAAACAUUUUAUUUUGGAUCCAGCUGGUCCUUAAAAACUCAAAAUUUUAUCAAUUCUAGGUUCUCGUGACAUCAUAUGUAAUUGAGAACUAGACUAACCUCAAAAUCCACAGUAGCCUAAAAUUGAAGGACUAAGUUUGUAAUUUCACCAAAAAAAACAACAAUAAUAAUAGUAAAACGAAUGUUUGGUACUUGUAUACUUUGUUAGACAUGGAGAGGUUUCCUUCCCCUUUGAGCUGACAUAAUACUUCUGACUGUUCACUUAUGGUUUUUUUCUGGACUUCAUUUUUGAGAACUUGAAAUAAGUAGGUUUUAUUAUCAGGAAUUUAUUGCUUUUUCUAGACGUUUUGAAAUCGGGAUAUAGUGGAUACGGCUGAUGAACAAAGCUAAGAAGUGUCAAUGUGGAUUUGAAAAGUGCUAAGUUUUCCACCUUAUUCAAGCAGGGGGAUCUCCUUUCCCUAUAUGCAUACAUAUAUUGAAGCUUAUGUGGGUUUGUUUGUUGUCUUAUCACUAAGAUGGAAAUGGUAGACUGAUGUGGCACCAGCUUAAGAUUAGAUUCGGUUUUAGAUGCAACUGUGUAAGCUUCACAGCAGAUAUUAAAGAUGAGACUAAGCUGAUAUCAGAAGAUUCAGAACUUGUCUGAUGAUUCGUAUGCUUUAUUGUUGAAAGAUCAGGCUGAAGAUUGUUAGUGUUGGAUAAAGGUUUAAGCUAUCAGGUUGAAGAGAUCAGCAAUUUAUACAUACACCACAAGCCUGGUUACAGAUUUUGAAGAAUUGACUUGAUAAAUUUCAUUUGGAAAGUGGUUUGUACCAUGAUACUAACAAAUCAAGUUUCAAUGUAGCGUAGCUGCUUAACCAUAAUAAGAAUGGUCAUCAGUUUCUAUUCUUGAAGUUAAAAGGUAAUAGAUGGGUGGUUGGUUGCUUCAGCCGAUGACUGAUAUCAACAUGUUGAUACUCAUCAAGGAUUAGAAAUAAGAUAUUGGCAUAUAGGCUAAUCUGCAAGUUGAUCCUUUUAUGGAUUGAGGAAAUACCAUAUGCGCCAUAUAGGCCACAUACUCAAGAUUUCUGAUGCUCAUAUGUAAUGAUAUUUGGAAAGAAAGAACUGUGAGUUCUCUGUUAGAAUUUGAGCAGCUUUUUAUAGUGUGAAAAUUGGUUGAAUAUGGAAGCUUUGCAAUCGACCAAUGGAUCUCAUGAUGAGAGAUCUAAGUAUAUUUCUUACUUGUGGAAUAGUACUACCAUGGAUUUGAAACUCAAAUUUUUAAUAUGAGCCUUGAACUUUUAGGUGUUGAACUAGUGUUUUUAGUUCGGCCAGUAUAUUUUUUUAUUAAUGCAUGCUUUCUGUAAUAUUUUAAUGAUACGUGCAAGUCCAGGCUGAGAAACUGAUAUCUUUUGCAAGGUCUUUUUAGUCCAAACAUCAAUAUAUUUAAUAAACUAAUACCAUGUCGAGAGAUACCUCACUUGACCUGAAAAGUGAAAGUACACAUUGGGAAGCUCAAGCUAUUUUACAGAGAAGCUAACAUAUUUGGAGAAUUUGAAGUUGCACAUUGAGAAUAGUUCGACAGAGUAAUCUUUAUAUCAACAAGAAUCUAGCUAGCAAUGGAGUUGGGAGAACUUUAGGAACUUUGGCAACUUUUUAAAGAAGGUUGUACUUCUUUGCUGACUGUGCUAUAGGAACUCUAAAAUGAUAUCAUGGUGACUGACUGAUCAUAUGACCUAAUGCAGGUAUGAUUACAGGUUCAUAAAAGUGUGGCAGUGUCUUUGUAUUUAUAUUUCGAGGUUUGAGGGUCGAGCGUCGAAUUUGGGAGUAAAUGGAUUUAGGUGUAUGGUUGAUAGAGAUGAAGGAAUGCAAUUCUCUUGUUUCUUUUCUUCAAUUCAUGUACGAUCAGAAUGAACAUUUGAAGUUUUCAUAUUUUCAUCUUCUAGGUUAAUUUUUUUUUCUUUAUCUAGAAAUAUUUUUCUGCGAGAUAAAUGGCCUUUUUGCCUUUUUGCGUCAUAAGCUUCUACUUUGUCUAAUGUUACACGAAUGUUAUAAGUGUAUUGUAUUGAUCUUUGGAUUGUAAUGAACAAUUUGUUUAUUGAUUAAUUUUCUUUUAAAGAAUCGAUAACUGUUGCUUUUCCACAUUGGUGACGUUUGGAACAGGGGACAAAUAUCUCAAGUCAGUUGUAAUAUCGGAACCUGAAGUUACUUUCACCAAAAGAGAAUCAGAGGAUGAAUGUUUAAUACUUGCUAGCGAUGGUCUGUGGGAUGUUCUUCCAAGUGAGUUGGCUUGUGAGGUAGCUCGUGAAUGUCUCCAAGGAGUGGCAGCUACUACUACUACUACUACUACAAUAGACCUCAAUGCUGUGCCUCAAAUUGAAGAAGAAGCGGCUGGAACUUCUUAUCCUUCUCGAAGUGCAUUGGCUGCUGCAUUGUUAACUCGUCUUGCUUUAGGGCGGAAAAGUACAGACAACAUCAGUGUCAUAGUUAUUGAUCUAAAAAGGAGUUGAGAAAAAAAAAAGAAAAGAAGUUAAGGUUUGACCAUGUGGACGUUUGCACAACCUUGUUCUGGAUUGGAGGAGGCAUGAUUCAUUAAUAUAUGCCCCUCGUAGGUGAGAACUUAUUUCUCUAAUGAGUAGGUUUGCGAUUGAAUUUAUUAGUUGAAAGUUGUGUUGUAGAGUCUGAUGAGUGAAUGUUUUGGUAUUCUAUGUCAUCAUGAAGCACGAAAGAACUGAUGAUUGGAAGAAUUGUGUUCAUAUAAUCCAACAUUCUUCCAGCCACAUGAUGUUGUUGAGGAGCUUUUAUGGUGGAUACAAGCAUGGUCUUACAUCUCAAAAAGAUGAAGCUUUCUUCUUUUUGCUUGUGAAUUACAUUGGACAACAUUUUGUUAUUGUAUCAUUACAAGGUUUGUUGUAUAUUUUGCCUUGCUUGGUAUAUUUUGCAUUGGUUACAUAAUUGAUUAGAAUGUGUUGGUAGUUGAAGUCACAUGUUAACAUCUGAUCAUAUCUUUUUAUUAGAACUUGGUUGGUGAGAUUGAGAUUCGUUGGUAUUAUUUCAAGUAAAUGAAUGUUGUUUUUUAAUGCAGAAGUAGGGAAUACUAUAUUAUUAUGCAAUUCAUUAGGAACAUGCUUCGAUUGUCCUUCCAGAUUCUUUAUUGAGUUUUCAAAAGAUUACACUCCAGUGAAAGAUUUUUGUUUCUCUCAUCUAUAGUUGAUCUGUUGAAUAAGCUUUAAGGGUGGAACUAGAUUUUCACACCUUGGUUAUUUUUCUGUAUUGGUUUUAUCUGCUCCCUCUAGUUUUGAUGGUAGUCUAAUAAUAGUUUUCAUAUAAUUACGAUCACUUUUGUUUUGUUGGCUAAUGUUGUUUGAGUUUUGAAUAAAUUAAGCAUGUGGAAAAAAUUGGUUAAGCACAUGUAAGCAUGGGUAUUGCAGUUUAAUAUUGUAGUCUCGUCAAAAAGCACAUGGGUACGAACUUUGAAUCUUGUAAGCAAAUUUUUGGUUGAUGUGGGUAGGUAUUUUACACAUUGAUUCCCUCAAAAUAUUAGUUUGGUUGACCCAAAUCUCCCAACACACUCUGCCAACCUAUUUUUGAUAGUAGAAGAAUGGAAUGUGUCAAAAGCUGCCCUAAUCGAUAGACAAAUGGAUCUAUAAAAUUAUUUACACUUUUUAAGUGUAGAUGUUUUGGUUGUUAAUACAUGAUUUCCAGUUGGACUUUGUUUGAUUUCGUUAUUUAAUCCUUAAGCACAUAUUUUAAUCCUAUGUUCAAAUAAUUUGACAACUUGAACAACCCAAUGUUCAAUCUGGAUGGGUUAAUGUUGAGUUGAACUUUUUCAACUUUUGUUGAGUGAAGAGUUAUGUGUAAAAUUUUCUUUUUAGUUGAUCAAACCUACCCGAAUUAUAUAUAUAUUACUGAAAACAAAUAUAUUUCUUUUAAUGUGUGGUGAAUUUGUGGAUUGUUAAUGUUUUUAUUUUAAGAGCAUUUAUUUGUGUUUUAAAUUGGUAAUAGUUAUUAUGAACGUUUGGUAUUUAAAUUUUGAUUAUUUAUGAGAUUUUAAUUUCUAAACAUUCUGAUUACUCUAGUGCAGUGAUUUGAGGAAAAAUAAUUAAGUAUAUAAUAACGAUUUUAAAAAUUGUAAAUAUAACAAACAUUUAUAGCUAAGUAUUUGCAACAUGUCUAUCAGGAACAACAUGUAUUUUUUUUUAAAACGUUGCUACGUGUCACACAAUCUCUUUAAAUUAAUAAGAAUGUAAUAACAUUUUAACAAACCCUAAUCCAGUUCAAAACAUGUAACGUUUCAAAUUUAGGAGGAGAACAUGAACGAACGAUAUCACAUAUGAAGGGGAGAUAUCCUAAUAACAUGAAAUGAACGAGAGCAUGUAAGGAGGUUAAGAAAGACUUCAGAAAAUUAAAAAGUUACUACCUAAACGAACAAGUUGCACAUUUUUUCUUCGAUUGUUUGAUCAUAGGAACUCCCAAGUUAAAUGUACUUAAUUGAAGUAACUUUAUGUUAGACGAUCUUCUGAAAUUUUUUUUAAGAUAUUGCACGUAAAUGAGGACAAAACAUAUUGAAAUAACUCAUUUAAGAUAACCAAAAGUGUCAGAGUAACCCAAAUUUUGAAGUUGGUCCAACAAACUCUACAACCCAUAUACACCACAUGCAGUAGUUUGAUCUAAAAAGAAAAUAGUUGAUCUAAAAGGAAAGAGAGAGAGAGAGAACUUAUAGGUUUAAUUUAAAUACAAUGAAUGAAUGGUGAUUUGAUGAGAAAAAGAGAAGAAAACCACUAAUAUUUUUGUGUUAUACAAAGAAAAGAAAAGAAAAGAAGGAAGGAAGGAGAGAUGUGGAGGUGACAUCAAUAGGUAAUGGCACGUGACGCGUGUGACCAAUCAAAAUAAUUACAAUUUUCUUCGAAUCUCAAUUUUAAUAUUUGAUUUUAGAAACACAAAGUCAUGGGUUAGGUUCCUCAAAAAUUUUCCCAUAUUUACUCAAAUACCCCUCCUUAUAUUUUUCUUUCCAUUACUACAAAUUGAGUCCAAGAAUUCAUAUCUAAUCUCCCUCUCACUAACACAUACCUUCACUAUACCUUUACUCGUAUUCAAUACUACUUUAAUUCUAUUAACCUCCUUUCACUCUAACACAUAUACUUUUAUUCUAUUCAUUUAACCUAUUUUCCCUAUACUUUCUUUUUUUCUUUUCCUUUUAUUGAAAAGGUUAAUAUCUCUUUCAAAGGAGUAGUUGAGAGUUUUUUUUUAUCCUUUGACUUUGUUAGUUUAAUUUUAAGAAAUGAUGAUAUUGAUUUCUUAAUUUAAUUAAGUUGAGACUUAGGGGGAAAAAGAAGGUAAUACUAGAGAGGGAUUGGUAAUAUUGAGAUGAGUGAGAGACAGAGACAUGAGAGGAUGAAGAAAUAAAACCUACCAAAGCAAAAAAAAAAAAAAAAGAUUUCAUUUAAUAAUGCUAUCAAAUUGGAGUAGUGGGGGCCACCAAUUUGAAACUAAUAAUUCUUUUAUUGACAAAAUAAUAAUAAUAAAAAAAAAGAGCCUUUGAAUUGAACAAAAUCAAACAAAAGAAAAUUACCUAAUUCCACUUUUUAUAUUCAACUUAUCUCUAUGACUGUUUCCAUCUUUGUUUUCCACUAAAUUUCCCUCCAAUUGGUUGCUCUUCACUUCCCUUAUUGCUUUUCUUCUAAAUUAUUAUCCAUAAUAUUUACAAAUAUAACAAAAUCUCAACGAUAAACGAUCAAUUUUCAAUGUCUACUUGUGAUAGAUGAUAGUAGUUUAUUAUUAUAAAAUGAAAUAACAAAAACUAAAAUGACAUGUGCCUCAUCAAUAAAAAAUUUAAGAUAUACGUUCUAGCAUCUCCAAAUAUAUGAACAUCUAUUUUUACGACUCAAGAUUCAAAUAUCCAUGAACUAAAGGAGAGAUGUUAUCGGACGUCUAAUAAAAUGAAAAAUUAUAUUGAAAUUCUAAUCUACUAUACAAGAUAGGUGAAGUACGAAUUCCAAGUAGUUGGAAUAUCCAUUUUAUAUAAUGAUGUUAUCAAUUGAAAUUAACUACAAUAAAAAUUGGGUUUUGUAUAAAUAAAAAAUCAUCUAUGACCAUAAAGGGAGAGAUAAAUCUACCAAUUUAAUAGAUAUCAAUUAGUUUAAUUAGUAAUUAUUGUUCUUGAGUUGACACAUUUACAUAGCUUAGUAUGGUUGAAGAAAUCAAAUUCAAAUGAGAUUACUAUAGUUUGUUCAAACAUGACGAAUAGAAAAAUAUUUUGAAACAUAAACUAAGUUUUUAGUUUGGAAAUAUUUAAUUUAGAACAUAAAAUGAAACAUAUUUAAUUAGUAGGAAAAUGGAAUGAAUAGGAAUCAAGGGGAUGGGUAACCCACAUAUUUUAAAAACAGGAUUUUGUACUUUUCUUUUUUAAUAAAUAUAUUUAUUUAUCUACUAAAUUAAUUUACAUUAACAUAUGUAUGUAUAUAUCUUAAAUAUAUAUAGAGAGAAUGAAAUGAAAAAGGGGAAAGAAGAAGGAAUGAGAAGCACAUGAUGGCAUUAUUAUGUACGCCAGGUGAGGUGUGGCGAAGCGCAUGCUUCCAAAACAAGGCAUUUUUAAACAUAAGGCAGUGUUUGAUGGAUAUCUUAUUAUUCAUGAACUCAUAUAUUAUAUCAAUUCAUAUCACUCAAAUUCCAACUUCAUUCAUAACAUUCACCAAUUAUAAAUAUAUUCCUUAGGUUAAACUAUUAGCAAUAUAAUAAAAUAUCGUUUAGACUUGACAUCUUGACGAGAUCUCUCUUAUUGACUUGACUAUGUCGUCUUUGCUUGUCUUGAAGAUUUCUAAUACUCAAAGUUGUUAUCACACACCAACAAAUGUUCUAUCAACAUGUUCUGCACUUACUCACAUGUUUUCGAUGAAAAUUUCUAGAAGGUGCCUCAACGUAUGAUUACUCUAAGUUAAGUAUAACUUAGUUUCUAUGAUUAGGUUAUUGAAAAAUAUUGUGCACCUCGUUGGUCUAGUAAACAAUUCUCAAUUCUUUUAAAUAUUUAUUAACCAUAUUUUCUUAUCUUUGAGAUCUUUCUCGUAUAGAUGUGAUAUCAGUUCAUUCAUGUCUUUUAUCUUCCUCUUAAGCUCUAAAUAUUACACAACCAAAUGUACAUAAGAUUAAGGUGUCGUUCAAUAUAAAAAAAUUAAGUUUGGAUAUAUGACAUUAACGUGAGGAGAUUAAUGGUAUCUUAUUUCUCCAAACACAAGUUGAUUACUAUUGGCUUUGGUUUAUCUAGAUUCUACAACAACCUUCAAGUCUCUUCAAAACCAUUUUGAUGUAGAAUGUCAUCACGACUUCUAAUGUCAAAUCUUCUAAAAAAGACAUUGAAAUGAAAGAAUAAUUUAUUCACUUAUCUCCAAUAUCAAUCCUAUCAAAUUGUAAAUGUUCAAAUAAGAUAAAUUAACUUUGUGUGAACUUAUUCAAACAGGUGUUUCAUCAUUUUUAUUUUGUUUGAAUUUAUUCAAUUCCAAUAUAAUCUAUUCGAGCUUGAAUCAAUUAUAAAAUAUGUAUUAAUUUGUUCACGUAAAUUUUAGAUGAAAGUCAUCUCAAACUUUUAAUAGAUCUUGACAACUUUGAUAGUAGAAUUACUCAAUUAUUGCAAUCAAUUUAAAUUGUUACUUUUUAAAAUAUUUAGAGAUCAAAUUGUUACUUCUACAAAAAUACGUUUUUCUUUCAUUACCUAAUCAAACACAUCAGUGGUUUGUAUUAUUUGUUUCCAAUCAUAAAGUUUAUUUUAUUAUAGAUAUAUUUUAAAUUCAUUUUGUGGAAACAUUAGUUUAAAAGAUUGUAAUGAAAUUUGUAUCAAUAACAAAAUAUUCAACAAAGUUUAACAAUAAAAUAUCAAAACAAUAUUUUUUAAAAUUGUGUGGACAUGACAUGGAAUGAUGAAAGAGUGGGAAAAUUUUAUUUAGUCAAUAUAUUUCAAUCCAUCUGUGUAGUCUUAAAAAACUCAUUUUUAAAUAAAAACUAGAUUUCAAAGGUAACAAAAUAAAAUAUAUAGCAAAAUAUUGUUAUCUAUUUACAAUAGACUAUUGAUUAUAUCAUAAUACACAAAUACAUAAAUGAUAAUCUAUCAUGGUCUAUCACAUGUAUGAUAUUUUACUAUACACUUCUAAAUAUUUUUAAAAGUUUCAUUAUUUAAAAUAAUUUUUCAUAAAUAUCUUAAUUCCUCACAUUAUUUUCUAUAAAACAAAAUUGACCUUUCAAUAAAUAAUAGUAACUCACUUAUAUAAAAUUGGAUACAAUUAGAAAUGCAGAAGUAUUUCUUAUAUUGAAGAAACAAUAAAUCAACAUGAAAAUUAGAUAGUUUAUGAUUGGAUUAUUUUUGUUUCUCACUCUAUAUAUCCUAAAAACAUAUAAUAAACAAAAAAAUAUAUAUAUAAAAAAGAGAAGGAAAUUGAACGGUAACGAUUAAGGAGAAAAUUACAAAAAGUAGAAAAUACAAAAACAACUAUGUACCCAAUAAUCCCAUCUAACAUUAUGAAAAAAAUAUGUACUUUUUUUUAAUCUUAAUGGCAAAAAGAUGAAGGCUAACACAAUGAAUGCUCAUCAAUAAUUAUAAUAAUGUUUUCAUAAAAUACGUACAAUGUUCAUAUCUUUAUUUCUUAAUUCAUUGUGAAACUUUUUUUUAAAAAAAGUAAAACAAUAGGAGUGAGAAUUCAAAUUAUGGAUCUCUUAAAAACCUUUUGAUGUAAAUACAUUUAUAUGUAUGAUUAAAAGAACCUAAUGGUCAAACAAUUACACUUAGGUGAAGAGGUGAGGUGAGGUGGGGAUAAAAUUUCCCUAUCCCCACUUUAAUUUCUUAUAUAUAAAUGGAAGUUCUAACACUUCUCUUCCCUCUUUCUCUUUUUUUGGAAAAUAACCAUUAAACAAAAGUUAGUAUCAAUAAAAGAUAAUAAGUAGCAAUGAAGAGCCCUAAUCCUCACUCUAAACUUUCAGAAUUAAACAAAAAUGAUGAAAGGAAUGAGUCAGCUAAUUCAAUACUAACUCUUCAAUUUGGAAGGUGAGGUUGAAGAUGAAACAAUAACCUUCUUUUGAACUCCAUGUUUCCCCACUGUCCAAUCACAAAAUCUUUGUUGAUUGAAAUGGGAAAUUACAGAAUUCUAUAUAUUCUCACAAGUGGGGUUUAGACAUUGCCUGCCCUACCCCAGUUUUUGUUUGGUUAAGUUUUUAAAACCUAACUUUACCAACAACUAAACAAUUCUCCUUCCCCUCACCUUCAACAUAACUUAGUGUAUAGUUUUUGACUAUUUGCUCCGACGAUGACCGAAAAAAUGUUAAGACAUUUGAUUUAAAACGUAUACUAUGACAUUGUUGAUAAAUUUUAGACGGCAUGAAGUUAAAAUACAGGUAAGUAAAAGAGCAUUGGAAAAAGAAAGAAAUGGGAAAAUGGGAAAAUGGGGAAAGGAAAGAAUAGAAAAGUGGAAAAAUGGUAUGAAACAACGAUGCAAUGUGGAUAUUUUUUUUAUUUUUUCGAAGGUCUUUUCACGUUUUGAUGUAAUUAUGGAAAAGGGAAAAUCUAACAACUUCCCAUAAAUAAUAAUAAAUAAUAAUGUCAAUAAUAAAUUAUUAAUUAAAUACGAAAAGAAAAAGAAAAAGAAAAAAGAACUCCAACGCUCCCUUCCCCUUCUUCUUCCUCUUCCUUUCUUCGUAUUUCUUCUUCUUCGUCAAACAUUCUGAUUCAGUUUCAUCAUGGAAACAACUGAUCGCUCCUCUUAAUCUUACUUCAAGUUCAACACAGAAAAGUAACCUAAAUUUUCUUCGAAUUUCUUCUCAGGAUGCCAUCUCGUAUCAUUUCUUCCCCAUCUCCUUCUCCUUCUUCACUACAAACCCAUCAUCAUCCUCUCUCUUCUCAUAUUCUUCCUCCAAUCGUUGCCGCUUCCACUGCUGCUUUCUCUCUUUUCCUCUUUCUCAUCAUUCUCUUCCGCAAACUUACUCGCAAACGCACUGCUCCUGCCGAUUCCAAGCCUCCCCAUCGUUUCUCUUACUCCCUUCUCCGCCGUGCCACCGAUUCUUUCUCCCCUUCUCGCCGCCUUGGCCAAGGUGGAUUUGGCUCUGUUUACUAUGGUACUCUCCCCCAAACCCAUAAAGAAAUUGCUGUCAAACUUAUGGAUUCUGGGUCUUUACAAGGCGAGAGGGAAUUUCAGAACGAGCUGUUCUUUGCCUCCAAGAUUGACUCGUCUUUUGUCGUCAGUGUUCUUGGGUUUUGCUCUGAUCAAAAGCGGCGCAGGAUGUUGUUAGUUUAUGAGCUUUUGCAUAAUGGGAAUUUGCAGGAUGCUUUGUUGCACAGGAAGUGCCCUGAGCUUAUGGAGUGGAAGAAACGCUUUUCAGUGGCGGUUGAUAUUGCUAAGGGAUUAGAGCAUCUUCAUGGGUUAGAUCCACCUGUUAUUCAUGGUGAUAUCAAGCCUAGUAAUGUGCUUUUGGAUCAUUGUUUCUCGGCCAAAAUUGGGGAUUUUGGGCUUUCUAGGUUGAAAUUAGAGAACAGUCCAUUUGAGGUUGAGGUGAAAGUAAAAGGUGGAGUGGAGGAGGAGAAGAAGGAAAGAAAAGAGGAACAUGAGAGCAACCGUGGUUGUGUAGUCGAAGAUUGUGGAUCUGUGGCUGAGGAAGCUGAGAGCGUAACCACUGGAUUUGAGGAAUUCAACGUGGGUGUUGAUCAGUCACCGGAGAGCUUUUUGAGAAUUCCUGUUUCAGAGACUUCACCGGAGACGGUGGAUGUCACUUCACCAGAGACUGCUUUGGGGGUUGCAGCAAUGGCAUCCCCCUCAGAAGGGGCUUUUGAUAGAGCUAGUUUUGAGAAUGGGAAAGAACCCAACAGUGUGGAGAAGAAAAGUAUUAAGAAUAGUAUCUCAGGUAAAGAUUGGUGGUGGAAACAAGAAAAUGGAGUUGGUACCAGUGGGAAUGUUAAGGAAUAUGUUAUGGAGUGGAUUGGAUCAGAGAUCAAACGCGAGAGGCCGAAGAGCGAAUGGAUUGCUGCAUCGUCAAGUGGCAGAUCAGUUAAGAAGUCAGAGAAAAAGAAGAACAAGAAGCGAUUAGAGUGGUGGAUGGCUAUGGAUGAUGAAAAGAGUGCCAAGAAUCUGAAAAAGGAGAAGAGAAGGCCAGUGAGGGAAUGGUGGAAGGAGGAGUAUUGUGAAGAGCUUGCAAAGAAAAGGAAGAAAAAGAAGCCCCAAAAAGGGGCAGGUAGUUGUGAUGGGAAAGAGCCUGACUUCUGGCCAGUGGAUGACGAAAUGUACAGAGACAAAAAGAAGAGGAAUAGAAGCAGAAGCCAUGGAAGCCGAGGUAGCAUUGAUUGGUGGUUAGAUGGGCUUAGCGGGGAACUCUGGAAAACUCGUGGGACCAGCCACGAUUCGACCGGAGGGGAUUUUCCCAAGAGUGGUGGCAUUAGUAGUACGCCAAGUAUGAGAGGAACAAUGUGCUAUAUUGCCCCGGAAUAUGGUGGUGGUGGAGAUCUUUCUGAGAAAUCUGAUGUUUAUAGCUAUGGAGUUUUAUUAUUAGUUCUGAUAGCUGGAAGAAGACCCCUUCAGGUGACAAAUUCACCAUUAUCAGAAUUCCAACGUGCCAAUCUCUUAUCGUGGGCUCGCCAUCUCGCUAGAGCUGGAAAGCUCAUUGAUUUGGUUGAUCAGUCGAUUCAGUCUUUAGAUCGAGAUCAAGCCCUUCUUUGCAUCAAGGUUGCCCUGCUUUGUCUGCAGAAACUGCCUGCUCGCAGGCCCUCCAUGAAAGAAGUUGUGGGGAUGCUAACGGGUGGGUUGGAACCACCCCAACUGCCAACUGAAUUGUCUCCUUCGCCUCCAUCUCGCUUCCCUGUUAAGUCGCAUCGGAAGCAUCGGUGAGUUAGUCAGUUCAAACAAACUCUUUUCUUGUAUAUGCUGAUACACUUUUUUAGUUAAUUUAUUCAUCAUCUUUGUAGGUAAUUCGUGUAAAAUCAAAUCAAAGAGUAAAAGAAAGUUUGUAACUUUGAUUAAUGAGUUUUUCCAUUUAGCUUCAUUCCUUCGGUUCUUAUGUCCGGCUACUGAUGUGAUGACCUUUAUAGGUCCAGAAUUCAUUGAUAUUUGUAUAUAAACAAGUUAAGGUGGACACAAAUAGAAGACUUUCUGUUUUCCUGAUCUUCUAACACACAGUUUGAUGAAGUGCAUGAAAGAUUCUUGUUACUUUAAGGAAACUAUGCUUUCUCGUUGAUUUUUCCCUUCUUGUAGCCUUAUUAUUCUCUGACCACGCCAAAAGAACAAAAAGAAGAAGAAAGUACAUGUAGAUUAUGUCUAAUAAAUUAACAAAACUGCUACUUGUGCGGAAACUUAGAACCUUAAAAAUAUCAUCAGCUUGUUUGGGAGUGGAGCCUGCAAGCAAUCUUGCUUUAUUCCAAGUCUGAUAAUUGUUGGGCAGUUACUAAUCUAUUUCACUUACUUUUGGAAGUUGACCGAAAUUUUUUACAACUAGGCAUGCCUUUUGCUUUAGUUGAAAGGAAAUGAUAGGUACAGAAAAGCAAUAGUAUUGGCAAUAGAGCUAGAAUUGCAGACCUUUUGCUCUGGAAUUUCUCUUUCCCUUUUGAUGAGGAAACUACUUUUGUUAAGAGACAUCGAAGAUAUAUACACUGGGCCAUAUUCCCCCCCCCCCCCAGAAAGAAAAAAAAAAGAGAAAAGAAGAAAAAAAGACAGACUUAGGCCAUCCAAAAGGCUCCAAAGCCUACUGAAGGAGCUUCGAUUACUAACAGUGAAGAAUAAAGGAAAGUUACUAAGAGAAUUGUCCAAUAAAGCUCACAUGGAGGUGUUGAAAUGUUUCACACACCAAAUCCCUUUCCAAGAUCCCUCAACACCGGUAAAAAUCUUCUUAUUCGUCUAUUAUGGAUUUCGACCUUCUCCAUCAUUAUAUGGUAACUCUUUCCAGUUGCCGAAACCCGUCUCAGGUACUUGGGUGAAUUUAUCAGGGAAAGCAACUCCAACUAACUGAAAUGGAUGUCACUCCAAUGCUCUAAUAAGGAGCGCUCCAAAGUAGGUGGAGGACACAGCUAAAGCACUAGUCUCUAGUCUCCAUUGAUCACCUAUCAGCAAGGGAAGUUUAGAUACCAAUUUGAAGAGCAUUUGCUUACCUUUCCUUAGGGGUCGAGAGCUGCCAGCCCUGGAGGUACCACACUAACUAGGGACCUACUUAAUUUUAUUGUAGAAAUUUUCGGGCUUAAUAAUUGGACCAUGCAAAUUAGAAAUACUUUUCCUUUGAUAAAUGAAGAGAUUGCUCGAUUUAUGUUAUAUAUAAUAUAUAUACUUGGUCGCCUGUUUUAAAUGGAUGCCCCAUUUUUGCACUCUAAUUGAUAUAAAAAGGGGUACGAAAAAUGAAAUUUAAGUAGGGACCUGUUGCCAGUGCCCUCGACGACUGUUUAGCUGCUUCUGCAGAUACAUAUGUCUUGUUGGAUGAAGUUAUCAAACAACUCUAGCUGCUUUCUUCAAGACAUUCUAUUUGUUCUUAUGCACUUGCUGAUACUUAAAAUGUAAGUCUCCUGCUUUUUCCCUUAGUUCUGCAAUCAUUCAUUAUCAUUACUUACUGGCCCUCUACUUUCCCAAGUCUAAGAAGCAUUUGGAUGCAUAAAUGCUCAACCAAAAAAGUCAGCACAAUCAUGGCUAUUGAAUCUGGGUUAAACUUAUCAACGUUGUACUUAAAUACAUAUUCUUGUACUGACCAAGUUUGCAGGUAAAGUUGGCUGUGAGUGAGGGGAAGAUGUUUGGCUUUCAUUCGACAAUACUAUUGCCUCACCGGCUGGUACGCCAAGCAUGAAACAGGCAUACAGAUCUCAUUCUAUGCAUUGUUGCCAGUGCAUGAACUAAGGGACCUGUUGCCAGUGCCCUCGACGACUGUUUAGCUGCUUCUGCAGAUACAUAUGUCUUGUUGGAUGAAGUUAUCAAACAACUCUAGCUGCUUUCUUCAAGACAUUCUAUUUGUUCUUAUGCACUUGCUGAUACUUAAAAUGUAAGUCUCCUGCUUUUUCCCUUAGUUCUGCAAUCAUUCAUUAUCAUUACUUACUGGCCCUCUACUUUCCCAAGUCUAAGAGAGCAUUUGGAUGCAUAAAUGCUCAACCAAAAAAGUCAGCACAAUCAUGGCUAUUGAAUCUGGGUUAAACUUAUCAACGUUGUACUUAAAUACAUAUUCUUGUACUGACCAAGUUUGCAGGUAAAGUUGGCUGUGAGUGAGGGGAAGAUGUUUGGCUUUCAUUCGACAAUACUAUUGCCUCACCGGCUGGUACGCCAAGCAUGAAACAGGCAUACAGAUCUCAUUCUAUGCAUUGUUGCUCGUGUUGUUAUAAUCAUGACUGUACAGUGUUUAAUUUACCUGUUCCAUUCAUUUUGGAUGGUCCAGGUUAUUUUAAAGAGUUCUUAUGAUACAUAAAAUCAAAUUAAAUGUAUGAUCUGGACUUUUUAAACUCAUCUUAAUCUUGAUGAACAGGGUUGGCAAAUCUGGAUGAUUAGAGAGAUCUCUUGCCACAUAAUGUAAAGUUCCUUUUGACAUUCUUAAUCUCAUCAUAGGCUUCAGGCCUUGGAUUUUGAUACAUUGGAGGGCCUUUGAUCUCUACAUUUAAAGUCGUUUGCAAUACAUUUCUCCCUUACUCCUCGUCUGUCCUCCAAAAUCUAAGGUAUGGAAAAUAAUAAUAAUUACUCUAAUAAUAAAUACUUUUAAAUGUGAAGGACAAUAAUGUAAUUUUGGAUUGUAUUGAGGAUAAACACGUACUCUAAUCCGAAAGACUCGAGGUUAGGGAUGGACUGCCCAUUGGCCAUUGGCCAUUGGCCAUUGGCACCCCAAAUGAAGCCAAAGUUGUCUCUUUCUUUCUUUCUUUAAUAGUUAAUUACCCUUUUCAGUGUUCUUUUUUCUUUGAGAAAUUACCCUUUUCAAAUUGUUGUUUAUCACAUAAUAAGACCAUUUUUCAAACUUGAUUUCACAAAACUAUUUCUAGAAGGAACGUGUUUCCCCUAUACAAAAUUUGCUCUUCCAAUCGAUUUGAGCGUGACAUAGUAAUAAAGCACAAACACUGCCCUUGGAUUCCACCCUUUUAACCUUCUCUCUGUAUUUAAUACAAAUUCAUCUCGUAGAGAUUAUUUGGAAUAACAUUAAGGGUACUUAAUGUUAAAUGUAAUAGCUUUACAACUAUGUUCUUUAGAUAUAAAAAGCCCUUUAUUGGGUAUGUUUUAAAUAGUGUAUUUAAGCUUGCUUUCAUUUUAUUUGUAAGAUUCACAAAUCUUAGUCCUCCACUCUCUAAUAUUUUAUCUAUCUUUUUUCUAAAAUUUUCUCAACUCCCUCACAAGUUUUCAAAAUACUAUUAUUUUGAUUUUUUUUUUAUACUGUUUGAAUUCACGUGGAAUAUUAUUGAACUCAUAUGACACCUAAAUAAGAGAUCCUAAGCAUAUAAAGGUAUGAUUAAGAAAGACUUAAAAAAUUGAGAUACACCCAUCUUUUAUGGUGUUAGUGUUGUGGUAUCACUUGUUUAUUGUAUAUAUUAUUUUGGAUUUGGUUGUUGAGAUUGUUUGGCUUGUUUGUUUUGCUAUCCCUUCCUUCCUGGGUUGUUUGGAUUGCUUCCCUCGAUUUAAUAGUUACUUCAUAUUAUGGAGUGUUUCUAUUAAUGUUAUGACAAUUGUUUUUGUGCAAUUGAAGUUCUUCAUGGACAACAUGUUGAUCUAUGUUUAGAGUGUUGUACCUUAAGUCAUAACAUUGCAAUUUAUUAAUUGCUACACGAGUAAUAUAAUCCCCUAAGGUCCCAAUGUUAUUAUCAAACUAGGUUACUAAAGUUUGAUGUGUUCUUUUAUAAGUUUCCAUGGUUAUUUUCUUUGUCAUCAACUCACAGUACAACAAAAAUUACGAUUAAUGACUUUAUUGUAAAAACUUCAAAAUUAAGUUUGGUUAGCUUCGACCAAUUUAGGGUCUAUGUUGAAAGUAUUUGAGAACAACUUUAAUAGGAAAUGUAUUAAUAAAUUUUGAACUCAUUUCUAAAAGAAUGUUUAAAAUAUUGAAAAACAUUUUGUUUUUAAUUCCAUCCAAACGGACCUUAUAUUUGAGAAACCGAGAUAAUUUUGGUUGUUGCUUUCUUUCUUCCAUAUUUAUAUGACCAUAAAAGUUUGAUUCCCUAAAAAUUUGAUUGAAUUACUUUUAUAUAUAUGAGAUUAUUAACCACUCAAUUUCAAAUUUAUAUAAUGUUUUUGUUUCCAAGCCCAAAAAACUAUUUUUAAUAGUCAUGGAUGAAUAGAUUAUUCAAAAAAUAAUAAUUACAUGAAAUUAAAUUAAUAUAUAUGUGUAUGUAUGUAUUUAUGUAUGAACGUAUGUAUGCAUUAAAGUUAAUUUAAGUUUGGGUUGUGUUGUCAUCUUAUGUGAACUUGUAUGAACCAAUUCAACCCAUUAAUUUUUCAUUUAUUUGAACCCAAUUCAAUUCGAACGAGUUUAUGAUUUUCACUGUUGUCUAAGUUUUAACUCUGCUUAAACCACAUCAAUAUAUAUAUUAUCAUUUUAUAUUAAACUUAUGUAUUAUUUUUAAUUUUAAUUUAAAACUAAUAUAUUAUGUAGAUUUAUUUACAUAUUAUUGAAAUUUUGAUUUUAAAUUUUAAACCAAUCUAAUACAUAGAUUUAUUUAUAUAUUGUUAUAAAUUUCUUGGAAUAUAUAUGUUUAUAUAUUAUUUUAAUUUAAAAAAGAGAAUUAUUGUAAAAAUACGAAAUUAUUGAAAAUAUUUCUAAAAUAUAAUAAAAUUUCAUAUUUUAUCAAUGAUGGAGAUUGACAAUAUUAAUAAUAGAUACUUAUAGACAAAGUUAUAAACUUUUGUUAUAUUUGAAAAAAAAAAUAAAGAAUUAGAAAUAAAAGUUUGUUUGAUAAUUAUUAUAUAUUUUUUCUUUGCUAUUUUGGGUUUUUCCCUUGUUUCAUAAUUUAAAUACAAUUAAGUUAUAUAAUAUAGAAAAAAAAAUCUAUUAUAAAUAUUAUUAAUAUAUGGACAUUCAUUAAUAUGUUUAGUGUUCAUAGCCAUAUAUCACUCCCUUAAUCAUCCAACACUCUUACAUGUAUCUUGAAAACGAACAUGUAAUCCAUCUCAUGCUUGUCAAAUUACAUAUAAAUAGCGACAUUUGGUGGAUUACAAAAGUACACUCAUAUCGAAAAGAAAUCAAUAAAUUUUGGAGAAAGGAGAUAAAUUUGAAAUUUUGAGUUUUUUAUAAAGUAAAAUAUUUAUAUUAUCUAAAACAACUAAUAAGUAUGGAUACAAUAAUCAAUAAGAAUAAUACAAUUGUUUCUAUCUCUCAAAAGUUUUUAAAUUUGAUAUAUAAUGUUAAUUGUUACUUGUGUCAUUCGUGCCUUUCACAAUAAUAUCAUAAUAAUAUCGAUGUAAAUUGAGACUAAAUGCAUGCUUAACCGAACAAAAUGCAUUCCUUCCAAAGUAGAGAAUAAGUUUAAUUUCAACCACAGUUUUAUUUUAUCAUUUAUAAUAUUAUUUUUUUUAAAAAAAUAAUUAUAAAAUAUAAUACUAUUUCUUUCUAAUUAAAAACAAGAAAUAAAAACGUUAUUAAAUGGACGUAAUAAGUUUGCAAAUACACAGAUUAUUGCUGAGGUUUAUAUUCAUCAUGCAUACCAUAUUGUUGGAGUUGUAGGGUAUGUGUUUUUACUACUUGCUUUAGUCAUUUAGAAUAGACUAAUAAUUUAAUUUAAUCAUAUAGAGGUCCACUUUAGCAAUUCAACCAUAUGACAUAUAUAUAUAAUAUAUUACUAUUUCAUCUCUUUUUUCUUUUUCCUUUAAAUUACUUUCUACCCAAGAGAGACACACAGGACCACAAGCUAGGAAUAUAAUUAAAGACUUUAAUUAGUUGGUAUAUUAAAUGUGCAUUAUUAAAAUAUCCUUUAUCUUCCAUAUGACUUAAACUUGCAAAAUAAUAAUAUAUAAAACACCACACACACACACACAUAUAUAAAAGAAGAAGUUUAAAAAGAAAAUAAUACAGCAAAGCUCUAGGGCUUAAGAAUGUAUAUUAUAAUGUACUAUUUUGCAUAUAUAAUGUUAUAUUGCUUUUGAUAAAAGUAGUUGAAGAUUUGGUUGGUACUCCCAAACCCCAUUUGAGUUUAAUUAAUUAAGUCUGUAUUUUCAUUGAUAUAAAAUGAGAUUGCAUGAUCAUGGCCUGAUUCCUCAAGCAUAAACACAAAAUCAUUUAGAUCUUGUGGUUAGGAUCUGCUUCAUUACCUUUUUUUUUUUGCUUAUUCAUUUUGAUUUUAUUCCUUCUCUCGAAUCUUAAAAUAUAAAACUAAGAAAGAAUCUAUUAACAACUAAUUCAAUUCUAUGGUUCAUUGGCUAGCACACGGUCAAUAUUUCAUAUACGGUUUGCCAGUAUGAACAUAAUUUAGUGUAUAAAGUACCAAUUUUUAUUUUAAAUGUCAAGAUAUUUCUAUUCUUAUCUUUACAAUGAUUGAACUAAAAAAAAAUCUUAUGUGGUUUGCUCUAGCAGAGUUGUCAUAGACUCUUUUAAGUAUAAACAAACAAAUGGUUAUAUUAACAAAUAUAUGCUUAUAUAUAUAUACAAAGAGUACACAACAAACCAAACCAUGUAUUUAAAAAACUUAAAAGAUUAUUUUGUGUAAGGGGAAGAAUAUGUGUGUGUUUAAUUAAUUGGGUAAAACCUCAUAUAUUAUAUAUAUGGUUGGGGUAAUGAUUUCUCAGAGUAUAUGAGUAAUGUUUUCCAAUAUGAAUGUGUGGCAAAAGGACAUGUGAUUUUCGAACCAUUCCUAUUUUUAACACAUAAAGAGCUGAGGUUGGUGGGAAAAGGAUAAUGUGGAAAGAUAAUUAAUCAAAUGAAAACUAUCAUAUAGUAAUCUUAAUUAUUAUAGAUUAUUUUUCUUACCUUCUACAAGUUAUUUAAAAUGCCUGUUGCUUCAAUUGGGAUGGAAGGGGAGAAAAAGUGAAUUUAAGACACAUUUGAGAGUAAUUUUUAAAAUAGUUAAAAUUAUGUCUGUCUUAGAAGCAAUAACCAAAUUUAAAUAUAAUUUUAUCAUGUUUUAAUUAAGAUUUUAUUUUUUAAAAAUAAAAUAAAUAAAUAAACUAUUUAUCCUGCAUACAACAAAACCACUAAAAGACGGAGUCUAUUACAGUUGAUUUUUAUAUGAUAGGUAAUAUUUUAUAAAAUGUUCUAUUUUUGACAAUUUCUCUUUAAAUCCUCCUAAUUUUAUUGACUAUUUUUAUAUUUCAUGUAUUUUUUUUCAAAAUAAUAAAAUAACAAUUAAUUCAUUAUAUCAAUCUAUAUAUAUAGGAAUGUUAAUGAUGGAAUUGGACAUGGUCAUUAAAAGUUUUAACUUCAUAACAAAAAGUAGAUGAACCAAAAAUAAAUGAAUAGCUUAGAGAAGUAUUAAUAUAUUUGAUAUAUAUGAAAAUAAUCAUAGAAAAAAAAAAGAUUUGACUAACUAUAUAUUAUAUCCGUAUAGAAAUAGAAUGUGAUAGAUUUUGUGGUCAAAUUUUGAGGCUCUCUUUUGCAACAAAAACUAAAUGUUAGGAAUUUGAUCGAAAACAUAUGAAUAAUUAGGGGAAAAUAAUUGUUAUUGGUUAGAGACAAAGAUCACCGUACGAUCAAACUCAUGAUUAUCCGAGGUGCAUGCUAUGGUCUACCCAAGACAAAAAUGUUGGUCGUCGUUGAGUUUGAACAUUCAAUUAAUUGUAAAUUACAUAUCAAAAUUUUAAUUAUUAAUACUAAUAAUAAAAAAAACAAUAUUCAUUUAUUAUUAUUAUAACAUAACAUGUGUGGCCGAUGAGUCAUUCCCCAGCUAAUCUUGUCUGUGAAGGAUUUAGAUGGAAUCUGCUUUGCUAUCUAAAUCCUAAUAAACCCAUCUGAGCAAGAUAUUACCCUAACAAACGCAUCUAAUUCUUAAUUUUGUUCCCAAUUUCUUCUCUCUCCCCCUCUCUCUCUUUUUCAUCUAUAUAAUGUACCCUUUACGGAAAAGUGAAGAGAAGUGCUUCCAGAUUUCGUUUAAUCCUCACCAACACAUAAUUCCAGAAGAUCUGAUUUUUGAGCACCAUGUUUCAGCUGCUGUGGGAGCUGCUCAUAAUGAUAAUCAUAAUAAUAGUAACAAUAAGAACAAUGGAGUCAAGAAUUUGAGUACGCCUAGGAGGAGAAAGCCACUAGUUGAAACUUUGGAGGAUGAUGAUCAAGAUCAUAAAAUCAAAUUGAUGCAUAGAGAAAGGGAGAGGCAAAGAAGGCAAGAAAUGGGGGCUCUUUAUAUGUCUCUAAGAACCCUACUUCCUCUUGAAUUUAUCAAGGUAAUUAUUAUUAUUAUUAUUAUUGUGUUUUCUUAGAUCAGUUGUUUUGUUACAAAUUGAGCAACCCCUUUUUGAUAAAAUUUUGUUUCGUUACUUAAAAUCUUUACCUUUUUCUUCUUGUUUGUUAGUUACUAAAAAUCAUUAUUAAAAAUCUCUUCUUCUUUUUCUUUUGGGUAUUUCUUAAUUUGACUUGAUGGAAAAUGGAUUUUUUUUUUCUGUUUAGGGAAAAAGGGCGAUAUCGGACCAAAUGAAUGGCGCAGUGAACUAUAUAAAACAUCAAGAGAAGAAAAUCAAAGAAAUUGAAGCGAAAAGAGAUGAAUUGAAGAAGAUGAAUAAUUCAAGUAAUUUUGAGAGAUCAAAAUUAGAAGAAAUACCAAAUUGUAGCUUUAAAAUUAGCUGUUUUGAUGGAGGAGUAGUUGAAAUCUUGAUUACAACAAUUGGUUUUCAUGGAUUUCCCCUCUCAAGAAUCUUGAAAGUAGUUGUUGAACAAGGGCUUGAAGUCAUUAGAUGUGGUUCUUCCAUAAUUAACCACAAAUCAAUCCACACCAUCCAAAUCGAGGUACUUAAGAUUAUAUAUAUAUAUAUAUAUGCCUGAUCUUAUUAUGUUUUUCUCAUUUUAAUAGCCAAUUUUCAAAAACAGAAAACAAAAUUUUGAUGAAAGAAUUACAGCAUAAUUUUAAUGAAAAUUUUGAAAAAGAGAUAACAAUAAUACAAAGAAUAACUGUGGUUUAUAAUUAAAAUGAACUUAUUAUAUUAUUAUCCUUCCAAUAAUGGAGCUGGCUUACAAAGUUUAAACCUUGCAGGUUAAUGAUCCAACCUCUCUUGAUCUGGCUGAGCUUGGAAACAAGCUUAGAGAAGCAGUGCCACUGCUAAGACAAGUAACAGAUUAACAUUUAAUUAAUUACUAGUUGUUUGUGCUUAAUUAGGAUCAUUUACUUUUUAAUGGGACCUCUCUUAAUUAGUAGUUUGUAACUGUGAUUACAUUCAGCUGUUUUCACUCUGAAUUCCUAAUUAACUCCUUUUUUUUUUUUUACAAAUUACUUUUCUCUGUACAGAAUCUGGCUUCUAUAUGUGAAACCUAGCACUCCUUUUUCCUUUUGGAUACUCAUGUUCCUGAUGAGAAAAUUUAGAUAUUGCUUUCUUUUUUUGAACAAUAAUAUAUAAGAGAGGUAGGAAGGAUUAUAGAUUUCAGAAUUUUUCAACUAGAUUGACAUAUUUCUAGCAUCCUCAACCUAUCUCUAGAACCAAAAGAAAUUCAUUGAUCGAUAAAAAAGAUACAUGCAUGCAAUAGGCUAGAAGAGAGCUUCAAGAAAUAAAAGGAAAAUAGAAAGGAUAGGCUGAAGAAAAACGACCUUCUAAUUAAGCAUAAUACAAGAUAGUAUAUUAUAGUAUACUUUAUUUUGGAGAAUAUUAAAUUCCCUACAACUUCUUAGCGCAUGUACAUGUAAUAAAACUACAUUUUGUUAUUUUGAUGCAUGUGCACUCAGUAUUGGUUUUUCAUGCACAAGUAUCAAGUUCAUGUAAUAGCAGUGGAAAUAGAAAACAAUAAUAAUAAUAGGUACAUUACAGAGAUAAAGUAUACUAGUUUUAACAAUUUAAAGAGUUAAAAAUGUAUCUAUUUAGUCGAGAUAUUCACCUCACCAUUUAAUUUUUAGUAUAUUAUAUCUUAUUCAAAAGAAAAAAAAAACAAACAACGAAUUAAUAUACAAUCAGUUCUAAAUGAAGUGUUGGGUAUUAGUUUUACGAAGUAUUGGGUAUUAGUUUUAGACGUUGAUGGUGUUAUGUUUGUGUUAACUUUAAUUGAGAUGUUCUAAUUAGUCUACAAACUUAUAAUAUCUAGUUUAAAAGAAAAAAAAUCAAUAUUAACCCAGAAAGCCAAUCAUCUUUUUUUAGAGAAUGAGAAUGGAAGUAUGAUGUAUGAUAUGUAUAUGCUAUUUUUUUUGUAAUAUUCCGAUACUUGUAUAGUUUUAAACUGAAAAGCUUUCAUCCAACUAGCGUUGUUAAGAUGUCUUCUGUUUUUGUCUCUGAGCUUAUGAUCUCUCGUUAUUUGUGUUAUUUUUUGAAUGUCUCAUGCAAUUAGAUUCGGAGUAUAAAAAAGUACUAUGAUUGUGUCAACCUGGUUGAGAUAGUCUAUCCUUUAUCUCUCUAGUAUUAUGUUUAAAAGUCAUGUAGAUAGGAAAAGGAAAUUGAAGGGAGUAAUUCAAUUGUGUUCAAAGGAAAAAGAAAAAGGGAGUAUUUCUUUUGGUCAUAUAUAUAUAAUCGUUAUUUGUGUUCAAAGGGAGUAUUUCUUUUGGUCAUAUAUAUAUAAUGGUUUGGUUUCUCUUUUUCUUCUUAUUAUUAUCUAGAAGAAUAUUGAUGUAUUGUAGUAUUCAAACUUUAUCCUUCAAUCUUGUGUUAAGUAUUGCAUUUUCUCUUGAUAAAGGGUUUAACAUGUGAGCUUCAGUGUUAUCUUGUGUUUAGUGGUAUUAAGAUGCAUAAAAUUUAAAUUUCCACAUAUAUUAAUAGUCUUAGUCUUAAUUAUAUUAUUAGUAAGGUCAUAUGGUAUAUUUUUGGUUAUGAAAUUCUGGAUACGAUAUGGUGGCAGUGGCGAGACAUCAAUUCUGGAGAUGUUACAUUCUUCUGUAUUUGGAGAAAUAUUAUGACAUUUUUACAGCUCUUAGUUAUCAUUAUUCUUAUUGUUAUUCCUUUUUGAUGUAAUCUAGUACAACACUUUUUUUUUCUUCUCUUUCAAUAUAACUAAAAUGAAGAAGAUUAUAUAUAUAUAUAUAUAUAUAUAUAUAUAUAUAUAUAUAUAUAUUGGAGAACUUUCUUUUAGGUAUGCUUCUCAGAAUUGGUUGUGCACUUAAGAGUAUCUCUGUCCAUCAAAUUAAUUAAAUUUGAUGGUAUAUAACCCACACAUUAUUGUAGUUUUGGUUCAUUGAACCAAAGGGAGAUCAUAACCCAUAUUGGAAAAGUUAUAUGUAUAAUUAAUUGUUUUUACAAUACAAAGGACCAUUUUUUAUGGAAUGAUCUCAAUUCUUUGUUAAUGUAGGCAUGGAGCAAAAUUCAAUAAAGGAAUAAUAUAAUUUGCCCCAUUUUGUAAUCAAUAUUUUCACUUUAUUCAUUUUCUUUUCUCUAUUUUUACCUAGGCUUUAAAAUAUAGCAAGCCAACUAAAAAAGUACUAAAUUUUUAUUACUUAUAUUGGUUUUGAAACUUGAGUAAGAAUCUAAUUUUUCUAUCUACAAAAUAUACAAAUUACUGUAAAAAAAAUGAAAUUGUUACCGAAUAAUUAAGGAUUCGUUUUUGUUUGGAUUGAUUAUUAGAGAACUUUUUUUCCCUUAAAAAAAAUUCAUUUUUAUUUAAAUGCUUUUAAAAAUAAUUAUUUAAAAUACACUUUAAAAAACAAUUUAACAUUCAAAUUUGAUUCAAAAUGAUUCUUUUUUUAAUAAAUAAACAAUGGAGGAUGUAUUCUAAAAAAACUCUAAAAUCUCAUUUAGUGUUUGGGUGAUUUUGGAUCCGGCCUUUUGCUUUGCCCUAUUUAUGUUUUAUCUCAAGAAUGUGUCGUAGUAAUUAAAAUAUGUCGAUGUAUCUCCCGAUUCCAUCUAUCUCCUGUAUUGUAAAAAAAAUCAUGUGAAACCUUAGUGAGAGAGAUGUUUUGUUAGUUGAUAUCCAAUAAGCGAAAAACAUUCAUAAGAGCUUCUCCAAUUGAUUAUCUCUUAAUAUUUAGAAGUAGAAUUCUUAAUAUGUCCCUUCAAAAUGAUGUUUCUUUUGGGUUUAUCAAUUUUAAUAAGAUCUCAAUUUUAUUUUUUUGAAUUGGAUAUUCAUUUGAGUUUUAUGAAUUCCGAUAUCAUAUUUGAUAUACCAAUAAUUUAUCUAUCUUAUAAAAAAUGUGAAAAAUAUAAGUUUCUUUAAUUUUUUUAACGUGACCAUAACAUUAGUAUAAUGCACAUUUUAUUUUCUAAUAAUGAACCUUUCCAAUGGGUUUAUUUCUUUCAUUAUUUAGAUUUUUCUUAUUGGUGUAAAAUUUAAUUGUUUUUAAAUAUGUAAAUUAUAAUUGGUUGAAAUCAUUUUGGACUGAAAAUGGAAUUCCCAACAUAUACAUAAAAAAAACUUUCUUUGAGGGAAAUUAUUGCAACCACAAGGAUAAUUAUUUUUAUAGAUAUAAUAAAAUUUUAGUAUGUAUCAGAAUCAUACGUAUUAAUACACUCAAAUACUUCGAUUAAGGUUCAUUAUUAAUAGAUUCUGUAGGAGAAAUUAGUAAAUGAUUUAAUUCUAUUUUACUAUAUUUAACAACAAUCUUUGUUUUAACAUAUAUUUAAUAUAUAUUGUUUUUUAGUACAUAGGUAAAAAAAAAUCGAAGAAAAAACUGUCACAUAUUUUUCUUACACAUUAUUUUUGCAAUCAUACAAAGAAUUUUCAUUUAAAAUUUGUGUGUUUGACAUAUUUUUCUUUUUCUAUAGUCAUUUUACUUUGAUGAAUUAGUUUUAACAAAUGGUCGCUUUUAGUCAUGAAAGCAAACACGCAUUAAUUAACACACACAUUCUAUAUAUAUAUAUUUUGAGAAAAUAUCAUAUCAAGUGAAUUUUCCUGAGAGUAAUUAAAGAAACUUACUAAUAUUGAACAAAAUACUAUCUUUAUUUAUCAUAUAUCAGAUAAAACUAAUAUACUAAUUAUCAUGUAUCAGUAUAUUGAACAAAAUACUAUCUUUAUUUAUCAUAUAUCAGAUAAAAUUAAUAUGCUAAUUAAAGCAGUCAAUAAUAAAAUAUUCCAGAAGAGAAAAUUAAGUAUAGUGUACAAAUUAACUCUUGUGAGUUAGGUUAAGUUUGAAUGAAUUGACUCGUAUUGAUUUUUUUUUUCUUUUUAAGUGACAUAUAUAAAAACUGAAAUUAUGUUUGCAUAUAGAUGGAUUCUUUCAUUGAUAACAAAAUAUAUAUAUAUAUAUAUAGCAAAAAGAAAAAAAAAAAAACUUAAAUGAACCAUGAAGAUCAAUUUGAUAGAUUUUGUACUAUUUCGUAAAUAGUUUAAAAUAUUUUGCUAUAUUGAAAAAUGUCUCGUUAAUAUAUGGAGGGUUUAUAUUAAAUUAGAGUGUACAAUAAUAUGAAUAAUGAGAUUGUGCAAAUCAACAUAUAUGCUUUCUUUUGAUUUUUAAAUUUUUUGGCAAGAUAUUCUUCCAACGACCAAAUUUAUACAAUUGGAUACAAAUAUGUAAAGUUAAGAAGAAUACCUUAUAGAAGUAUACGUGUAUGAUAAUAUAUAGUAUUAUUGUCAUUAGUCCAAAGUAUCAAAAGAAACAUUUAAUAAAGAGAAAAGAAAAGAGUUUUGUAGAAUAUAUAUACUGAUAUGAUAUAUCUUGCAAUGUCCCUAAAUGAAUUAUCAGGAUCACAAAGUGGUCCAUAUUAAUUUUAAUUAAGAUCCUAAUAUUAUUCCAAGUGUGUGUGCUUUGUGUUGGUCCAAUGUUCUAUCCUCAAUAUUAGCAAACACUUUAUGUAAGAAACAUUAUUAAUUCAAAUAAUUGAUUGUGGCAGGCAACAGGAUAACCAUAAAGUUCAUGUUAUUUUAAUUAAUUUUAAAGUUUUAGUUCUAAGCUCUUAGGGUAGUUUUCUUAAAUAGGUACAUAAUUUUAAAGUGUGGCCACACACACACACACACACACACACACACACACACAUAUAUAUAAAAGGAUACCCUAUCUUUUGGGGAGAGAUAUGAUGAUUUGAUAUAUAAAGAUAUACACAUACUGUUGGGGUGCACUAAAUUAAAGCUUUUGACCUUCGAAAUGUACACUUUCACCAACUGCACUAAUACAAAUAAAUUGUGCCACUAAUAAUUUUCCCUUUUAAUAUUAUCACUUAAAAUAUUGCUAAAUUCUUGUAUGAACAGUUCAAUUGUUGGCCAUAAGAAGCUGACAUGAGCAUUAAUUUAAAGAAAUUAACAUAGUUCAACUUCCUUAUGAUUAUCAAUUGUUUAAUGUCUAAUUUAAUUUCCCUAUACAAGAAGAAAAGAAGAGUAAGAGUGUUGAUAGUUGAAAUGUGUUGAGUUUAUACUUCAAUUUUAAACCACUAGUAUGAAAUUUGCUUUUACAUUAUUUAUGAUUUUAAUUUUAAAUUUGAAGAAGUUUGUUUUAAAAUGUUUAGAUCAUGGAAAUAUAUGCCACUGUCUUGUAUUAUUCUAAAUUAUUAAAUUGAUAAAGGCAAAAUCAGUGGAAUUAUUUAAAGGGUUUAAACAAAAUUAACAUGAAUUUUUUUUUGGAAAAAAAAUAUUAUAUUUGUAAAAUGAUAAUGACGUUAUUGCUUUAUUUACAAAAUGUGAACAAGAAAACAUAAUAUAAUUAAAGAAGGUUGUAUCAAACAAUAAUAGUUAUACUAAUAUAUAUGUUAUUAAAUCAUGAAGUUUAAAUUAUUCAACUCAAGAUACCUCAACUUUGGAUUAUCAAAUUAUAAAUUUAAAGAAUGUGGCUAGUAAUUAGAGUUAACUAGAGAGAGAUAUGUACACACUCCAUCAUGAUGAAGGUUCUCUCUCUACUUUAAUUAUUUAUAUCUAUAUUUUUUACGACACUCAAGAAUAAUAUACAACUUUAUCUUAUGAAAUUUCUCUAAUAAAUAAAAGGCCAAAACAUUAGAAAGAUUCAAGUUUGUAUAAUGUUUGUUGGACUGUCCAAUAAAAUUGAAACUCCAAAUGACGUUUAAAAUAUGAAUUUGUAUGUCGGUAACUAUAUAUAUAUGUGUGUGUAAGAAUGUAAUCAACCAAUUCAAGUCAACAAUUUACACUGAUAGAUUGCAAUGAAUUUAAUAUGAUAGAUAUGUCAUCCCUUUUUUAAAAGAAUUAAAUCUUCUCCAAAUUAUUGUUGAGUACAGUUUUUGAAACCCUUUUUGGAAUUCAAUUUUGAGUUCUAAAAUGGGUUUGACCAUAUAAGAUCGACCAUUCUUACAAAAUUGGAAUUUAGUUGUCAGUGCAUAAAACAUCAUUCUACACAGUGUUGAGCAUGUGAUUGACAUAAAAAAUGUGUUAAUUAAUUGAUCAAAGUGUUCAAUAUCGAUCACCUAUGUUAGAAGAUUUGGUCUGUGAUUGUUAUAUUUGUUCAAUAUUUUUGUUGUGAAAGACUAUGUGACAAAAAGCUUUAUGUGUGAAGACUUGAACAAUAUUUCGUAUUAAAAAGAUAUUAAUUAAAGUUGUUAUGUUAUAUUUAUUCACACUCUCAUUGUUUUAUCAACCUUUAGGUUGGUGAUUUUCAUUGCAAUAUAUAAAGUGACGAACAUUGAACACCUACAAGAACAUAUUCUUUAAUAUCGAUUGUCUUUGAUGUUGGUCAAUGAUUGACAUCAAAGCAGUGAUCUAUCUGUCAUAAAAUGCAUAAAAUGUAUACACAUUGUAUAACAAAAAUAAAACAUAAUUGUUUGUACAUGUGCAAACGAAUAAAUUCUUUUUUUUGACGACAUGUACAUUCACAAGUUAAAACCUCAAUUUCUUUUCUGUAUACAAAUCAAUUUUCAACAAACACAAAAUUUAAGACUUUGUUAAAAGACCAUUUUCUUUUUUAAAAUUAAACUUAUAGAUAGUUUCAAAUCCAAAUUACUUUUUACCAAUGAUUUAAAAAACCAAGUAAAGAAUUUUGAAAACUAAAAACAAACAGUAGCUUUUAAAAUCUUAUUUUGUUUUGGUUAAGAAUUCAACCAUUUUUAAUUAAAAAAAUAUGUAAAUCAUUAUAAAAAAUAAAGAUAAAGUAAUAGACUUAAUUUUCAAAAACUAAAAACAAAAUAAUGAUGGAGGGAGUCUACAUAAUUCACAACACAAAACAAUAAAUUAUUUAACCAACAACAUAUAAAAGAGUACAUGAAUUUGUUGGGUAGUGCAUUCAAACCAACCUAAUCUUUUUAAUCCUUUGACUAAGAUUUUCAAGCUAAAGUUGUUUGAUUUUUCUUUUGAAGGAAAAAAAAAGGCUUACGUAAAUAUUCAAUAGAGUGAAAUCAUAACUUAAAAGAAAAUUGAUUUAAGAUGUUUGUGAAAAUAGUUUUCAAAAUGCAUAUUAGUUUAUGAAACCUACAUUUUUUUAACUUUUCAAGUAUUUAAUACAUGAUAUUUUUAGUUAAUCUAAACUUAUAAAUUAGUGUGUGGGAUUAUAAUUAUUAUUUUGUUAAUUGUAAUUAGAGUGUACAAAUUUUAUUUUUUAGGAUAGGAAAUGAUUAUGAGUUUGUGGUUGGUUACUUACUUAUAGCCUCAAUUAAAGAAUUGUGUAAAUUAUGAGUCCAAAAUCCCAACCUUUCCCCCAUACAUAAACUAAAUAGAUAUUGGUCUUUUUCAAUUAUACUAUUCAUAUUGCGGCUUUUUGUAAUUUAAUGGUGUGAAUCACUAAUUCAUUACUUCACAACUAUUUACACUAUUUCUUAAACUAUUUUCAAACCAAAACUGCUCCAUUUGCUUCCAAUUCUAGUUUGAGUUACAUUUCAUUUUUUAAAGCCCAAAUAUGGACGGAGGAUUGAUUUUUUUCACAUCACAACAAAACGAUAAUAAUAAUAAUAAAAGGAAAUGAUAGUAAAAAAGAGAAGAAGAAGCAUGAUUGUAUGAAUGUAAUGGUAGUAUUUAGUGUUUCUUAUGGUGGUUUGAAAAGAAUUAUACAUUUUAGAUUUGAGUGGAGAAAUUUGAUGUAAUUUGUGGCUGAAGGAUACGAAGAUGUGAUGUAAUUUACAUAUUUAGCUGUUUAUUAGUUGAUGAUUGAGAAAUUAAGUUAGGUAGGGUCAAGUCAAUGCCAAGAUUUUAAAAACUAUAUAUGAUGAUGAACACAUUUUAAUAUUAGCUAUUUGUUUUUACCAAUAUAGUAAAUAAGUCUCCUCUUUUUCUUUUUAUAGAGGCACAACAAACCUCAUUGAAAUCGUGUUAUUAAUCAUUAUAUUUAAAUACAAAUAUAUAUUUCUUACACCUAUUGCUUUAUUUUCAAUUUUAAAUAUUAAUUUCAUUCAAGUUGGUCAUUUGUAUUAAACCCAAAUUGUUACAAAAUAUUUUAUAAAUGCAAUAAAUUUUUACUCAUCUAUUUGUUAUAGGUUUCAUAAAAAUCUAUCAUCUAGACUUUGAUAAAUAUAAUCUAUUACUACUAGAAAAUAUAAUCUUUAUAUACUUGUAAAUAUUUUAACCGUUUUUUUUUUAAUUUAAAACAAUUUCUCUUUUCUUUUUAAAGUUUUGUUAUUCAUUGGAAUUUGGUGAAAGAAACUUUAGUUUACAUAAAAACAAUUAACAAUUUAUUUUUAAAGAAAAAACCAUGCACUUUUUGAAAAAUUGUUUUUGUAAUCUGUUUUUCCGUUAAAUAUUGAAAAAUUAUUGUAAAUGAUACAACCGUUGAAAUAAUUACACACUAUAAUAAAAUUUUAAAAUUUAUCAAUGAUAGAAUUCAUAAAUAUUAAUAGACUUACAUUAGUAUUUAUCAAUCAUAGAUUAUAAAAUUUUGUUGUGUUAUAAAAAUAGUUUAUUUUGCUUUACUUAAAAACAAUACUUAAAAAAUUGUAUCAAUCAAUGGAUUUAUAUAUUUCAUUUGCAAUUACUUAUUUUUUUUUCAUUGUAAAGAUAACCUUUUGUUUAUAAUAUAAAUUUUAGUGAAUAAAAUAAUUUUUUCUUAAAAAAACAAAAUUAUUUUUUAAGUAUAACAAAUAUUCAUUUCUAACCAUUAUUGAUAUUUAACAAAAUUGAUUUUUUUUAAAAAGACAGAAAAUAUUUUGUAAAAGUAAUGGUUAUGUAUAUAUAAAUAUAACAAUAAUUAAUAUCUUUAACUGAAUGAGAAUUUUUAUUUGUAACGGUGAAACAUAAAAUAUUUGAAACUAACAAAGUUUAUGUCCCAAGGGAACAAUAAAUAUCAACAAUUUUAAAAAUAUUAGAACGGUUAAGAUUAAAGGUGAACAAGAUAGACUGAAAAAUCAAGUCGAUAAACCAAAAUCAAUUGAAUAGAAAGUUAUCGAUAUGAUCUAAAAAUGUGCUACCUAACUCUACUUAACUUGAGAUCGUUCCAUGAUUUUAUGUUCUUAUUUGGCUAUUUUAUAGGUUUCAAGCAAUUCAAGGGUAGAAUUCUGUGUUGACGUAGUUUUAAAGUCAAAAUGAGCAAACACAAAGUCAAGAUACAUUGAAAAUAGGCAAUUUAAGCCCUUGUCUUGUGUCACAGUGCCCCACGAUGUUGUGCGCGGUUCUAUAAGCUGGCAGUAGUCUUAGUGUUCCCAAAUGCACUAUGCUGCAGCACUACCUUAGAGCACAGAGAUGCUCCAACUUUGACGAGUGCAUGAAGUUUUGUCAAUGCCGCACGACAUCGUUCCAAGCACUCCGACACGAACUAUUAAAAGAUAUUUUCCUUGCAUCUAGGUAGUUCUGCCGCUUUGAUUGUUGCUGCUCUAGUAUAGAUCUCUCAGCUAUUUUCUAAGCUAUUUAGUCUAGUUUUAUGCACUCGAACUUCUUCUCAUCAUCAGUUAGUAACUUAGUAUAGAUUUGGAAAAAAUCAAAACCGACAACAUUAUACAAAAGUUUCAAAGACUUAAAUCAAUCAAAUUAACCAACAUUGUAAAAAAAAAAAAAAAAAAAAACUAAAAAAUUUGCACUCUUUCAUGGUCAAAAUUCGCUUAAAUAUUUACUAAAUCGAUCAUGAUGGAUUGAGUGGAUAGUUCGAACGAAAAAUGAAGUACAUGUCUAAUCUAUUUAGGUGGUACAAAAUGGAAAAGAAAGAAUAAAAAAGGGCAAAUGAAGGGAUUUUGGGUAAGGAGGAAGAAAUGGGCAAUUUGAAAGACUUGGGCAAUGUCAUGGUCCACCCGAUGUGAAACCCAAAUUACGGCCGACAAUUUGAUCGUCAAAAACGGGAGCUUUAAUUUUAACUCCACGUUUUGCACUGCAUACCUUUCAUUGCUACAAUAACAAAAUAAUUAAACUUUUAUCACAUUUAAAUACAAAUCAAUUAAAUCAAAUUUGUUAGAGAAAAAUAAAAGCCCUAAUUUUCUUUUUCAAUGAUCUUAAAUUUACUUGCUCCAAUUUCAACUGCCCACACACACUCAUAAAAAAUGUUUCCUUUCAAUGAUUCCUCUCAUGAUAUUGAUGAUUACCAAAUCCAUCUCCAAAAUCUCUUUUCUUAUCAACUAAUUUCAUCGCAAGAAGGAUGCAGUCGUACUGAAAAUCUUAAUACCAACAGCAAAAUUGACGAAACCACUCAAAAUGAAGAAAAGAAGAUUAUGCACCGAGAUCUUGAACGUGAAAGAAGAAAACAAAUGACCUCUCUUCUCACCAACCUUCGAUCUUUGCUUCCUCUUGAAUUUAUAAAGGUAAAAAAGAAAAAAGAAAAAAAAACCCAUCUUUUUGCUUUAAUUACCUUGUAUUUUUGUUGAUUAUUUAUGUAAUUAUUUAUUGAUUAUUUUAGGGUAGGCGUAGUAGGGUUGAUAUUGUUGAUGAAGCUGUGAAUUAUAUUGAAUAUUUAAGAGGGAGGAUGAAUGAGCUUCAUGUUAAAAGAGACGCGAUAGUAAAGAGGCUGCAUUUGGAAUCAUCCUCAAGUUGCAAUAAUGAUAUUCCUUCUACAAGUUGUGUUGUAAUUAAGCAAUAUUCAGGUGGAUUGGAGAUUGUGAUAAGUAACGGCAUUAUUUCAGAGCAGAAUUUUCAACUUUCAGGAGUGAUGAGGGUUUUGAUUGAACAAAGUAUUGAGAUUGAAACUUGUUCUUCUACCAAAUUAAAUGAAAGGAUGUUGCACACUAUUCAGACAAAGGUUGUUUGAUUAUUUAUUAUUGCAGGAUUUGAAUCUUUUUUUUAUAUAGUAUGAUUUUUUGUUAUCUUAUGUUGUUGAUUCUUUUUGUUUUUCAGGUAGAUGAUCCAACCAAGAUUGAUCUGCAUGAACUGAAGCAAAAACUAUAUCAAGUUUGCAAUUCUGAGUGAUUUGGUACCUAUCACUUACUCCUAUAUAUCUUUUUCUUAUCAUUUUGUGUUGGUUUGAAUGAAGGAGGUAUUGUGAUGAAGAUUUGUAAAAUGUGUGUAAAUUUAUUUAAGAUGUUGAGAGGUGUGCCUUUUGAUUCUUCUCUCUCGUAGUUAUACUAAAAAAAAAGUUUGAAUGAGGAGGUUUUGUGAAGUGUGUCCAUAACCUAUGAUUCUAAGCAAAAUCUGUGCCUUUUGUCUCCUUCAUUUCAAUGGAUAAACCUUUUUAUUUUCAGCUAUCCGAGGUCUUCAAUAAUCUUGAGAAGAUUUGUUCAAUUUAGUAAUUAUCAAGAAGGUGCAUGCAGUUCCGUUUUUUCAACUAAACUGUAUGGUUAUUUGGAGCUUCACUCUAGCCCUCCAUCUGUAACUUCUUCUAUGAUUAAUGAUAAUCGCUCCAUCACCUUGUUUCCUAUUUUAAAAAAAGUUUAUCAUGAAUGGGUUAAAUAUACAUCAUUAUUUAUACUUAAAAAAGGCGAAGAUGCAACUAUUUUAUAAAUUGAAGGACUAUUAUUUAGCCUCUCCUUUGUUUAUAAUUGAACUGAGUAUGGACUCUUCUCUUGAGCUCUCCUUGGUGGACUCUCUUUCAUGUUAGCGUAUCCAUUUUUGGGUUUAGGGUGUGAUUUUGUUGAGAUAUUCAGGUACAGCCUAGUUAGUUAGAUGUUGAUGAAGUACAGUUGCUCACUAUUUUUGUAUCUUGUUAAAAAAAUAUGUUUUUAAUUUAUUCCAUGUUUGAUAGCUAACUAGUGAUCUUCAUACGGUUUUAAAAAGUAAGUCUAUAAACAAUAUCGUUAUUUUAUAGUUUAUUAUUUGAUUUGUAAGGAUGUUUUUAAAUUUUAAGUCAAGAUUUAAAAAUUUAAAAAAAUUUGUUUUUUUAUAAGCUUCACUAUCAACUAACCUUUGUUUUCUUAAAAUAUAUGUAAAUAUUUUAAAUAAAUGGUUUGCAAAUGCAAACUAAAACUCUAAAAAAGAAAAGAAUAUAAGGUCAUUGAUUGAGACUAGAGGAUCAAGAAAAUAAAAUAGCAAACUAAAACUCCAAAUUCCACAAAAGGGAAAUCAAUAUAAUUGAUUUAAAUAAAUAGAUAACAACUCUUUCAGGAUGCUCUAAUCUUCUCUUGUAGAAUUGUGCGUGGAUGCAACAAUUUACUGCUUGUUUGAUAAGAUUUAAUUUUCAUUUUAUGUUUCCUGUUUUCUCUUUCCGUUUCUCAUUCCUUUUUUUCUUUAGAAGAAACAUGGCUAUGUUUGAUAACUAUUUUUGUAUUUUUUGUAUUUUUUUUUUAAAAUAACAAAAACAUAAAUUUGUUUAUAAUCUUUUUGCUUUUUUUUUUGUUUCUUGUGUUGUUUUUUCUAAUAUAUAGAAGAGAAAUUAUUGAAAAUGACAAAACUGUUUAAAAUAUUUAUAAAAUAGAACAAAAUAUCAUAUUCUAUCCACUAUCGGCAUUAAAUUAAACUUAAGAUAAUAUAUAAACGUAUAAGCAUGCAUACUGUAAACUUUAAAAUUUAGAAAUUUAAACAAACAUAUUCACAAAUUAAAUAUAUAUAUAUAUAUAUAUAAACGCGCACACACACAUAUAUGAAAGAUUGAUAAAGAAAUAAAAAAAGUUAAGAAAUAUCAAAUAUAUAAAUAUGAAAAAUUAAUAAAGGAAGAAAGCUGAAGUAAAAGAAGUUAAGAAAAUAAUAAAAAAAUCGUCGAGCUCAAGACCUUAAGAGCAAAAGUAAAUAUACAUCCUAAAUCAGAAGAAAAAUAGAAUCAAAUAAAAAUGAAAACAUAAUUAAGUCCAAUUUUUAGAAACAUUCUUUCUUGAAACAACAAUCAUUAUUAAACAGAUUUGUUUCUUACAAAAUCAAAAACAAAAAAAGAAGGGUUAUUAAAUAGACUGUUAGAGUUUUAUAAUUCAAUUUAUAGGUGUGAUUUGUGAUGUAAAUAACUUAUUAUAAUAAGUUGAUAGAUGUGAAAUAAUGCAAGAUAUAAUAUAUUCAACAUAUUUUUGCAAUGUCAGUUUUUGAGUUCUAAUCCUUUAAAAGUUAGUAAUAAUAGAUUUUAUUUACGUGUGUUUAUUUGGUUGUGGUUGUGGUUGUUUAGGUGUUAAUAAUAGGGGUAGAUAAAUAUUUGAAUUCCAAACACAUCAUCAUUUAACAUCUCUUUCAAUUACAGUGGUUACAUGCACUGUGCUUGUCUGAAUUGUGAUAAUUAAAAAUAUAUAGUUUAGAUUGUUCUUCCACAUUUGUUAAGAAAUCUUUAAAUUAUAUUGUUAGCUGUGUUCUUCAUUGUUCUUCUCAGAUUCUUUCAAAAAAAAGCUUCAUGUAUGAGCUAGCAUAUCAACAUUAAAUUAAAGGCUUUCAUGACGAGCAAGCAUAUAUAUUAUACACCAAGAUAUGAAGCAUAAAGAAACGAUAUAUAUAUAUUUGUAUACUCCCAAGCAUAAUUAAAGUGACUUUAAAUUAUUAUAUAUGGUUUUAGGGCAUUCUUAUGACUUGAUUUUUCUGCUUUAUAAAUCAAUUUUACUGUAACAAGUGAGAGUUGGCAGAUUUCAAUCCUGGACUCUUACCUUUCCUUUGUUCUAUAUUCAUCUACAUAAGUUAGAUCAUUUUACUCUGAUUUUGUGUUAUAUAGUUCUUUUUAUAGUUUUUAAAAAGAUUAGAAGGAUUGAUAGAUACUUCAAAAUAUCUCAACUAGAUUCAUACAUACAUAACACUCUCGUCACACUCUAAAGUCAAGAAUAUGUAUUAUACAAUUCACCUAAUGUAACUUUUUUCAAAUUUAUUAGUUUUCAAAGCUCUACACGGAUCCAAAAUAUUUCUAAGUUUUUUUUUUUUUGCUGGGGUGAAAUAAAAUUUUAACUAGAGGCAUUAGAGGCAUGAAUCAUAUAUAAAAGUUAAAUUAUAAUCCUUCUAAUUAUCAUUCCCAUAGAGUUUAAUUUCUUAAACAUAUAAAGUUCCAAAGCUAAUAAUCUAAAUUGUGAAUUUUAGAUGUGCUAUUUGCAUGAUUAGAAUUAUUUUAAAAGUGGGAUGAUACGUAUCUCACCAUAAUUAAUUAUUAAGUAGAGAGAGAAUUUGUUGAUUUGCAGAGAGAUAGAGACAAUUAAUAUCAACUACCAUUAUACUUUGAAUUUGAUUAUAUGAUCAAAUCUGAUUCUAUAAAUUAGAGAAGAUCUCAACUAGGACCCAAAGAGUGGGUGAACUCAAUACAUAUUACAUAUUAUCUGGGAUUACAUUCAAAGUGUAUAUAUAUAUAACAUACAAUAUUCGAAAGCAACAAAAAGAAGAAAAAAAAAAUGAUAACCAGUCAUGCAAAUCUUUGUUGUUGGUGGGCAUUCAAAAUAGGCUACCUUUAUUACAAGGAUUUGGGGAUUUUCUUAUAGAGUAGAUAAUAAAAUAUGGACGUUUUAAGCUAAAUUUUCAAAAAUUUAAAAUUAGAAAACCAAAUAAUUAUUAACCAAAUUUUCACUAGUUUACUUCCCUAAAUAAUAUUUUAGGGAGUCAUUUUAAUUAAAUUUAUUGGUACAGGUUUAUGGUUUAUAAACAAUAAAUUAUUUAAAAUAAGAAAAAAAACUCCUUUUGAUCUUUGAAAAGAUACGAUCACCACUUAUGCAAAUAUUCGUAUAUGUAAUGCAAAUUUUUUUUUGAACUAUUUUAUAGUUAUGAUGCUUCCUCCAUAUCUUUGGUUUGUAAGAAUUUUCUCUAAUCUAUUCCAUGGUUACUAUUUUAAAAGUUUCUUACAUGGUGGUUAAGAUAUUAUAUAUUACUCUAAAAUAUUUAUCUAAAUUAUCAAGUAUUCUAAAUCUCUAUCUCCAAUUGUAAAACAAUUUUAUUUUAGUACUAAUUGACAGCCUUUGAUUGGUGAAAUUUAAAUUUUAAGAUCUAUUAUAAGAUAAAAUUGAUGAAGCUAAGGUGUGAAGAAAUUAAAUUUAGCUCAAGAAAAGUAUGGGCGAAAACGAAAGAUCAUCUUAGCCCUAUGGGACUAAUCGUUAAUGGGCUUGAUUUGGGCCUCUACCAUCUUUCUUCAAUGUGCAAGCCCAUUGAUGACCAACAUUCUUAAUAUAUCUCAAUUAUUUUGGGACACUAUUUAUCAUAGUUUAAAAUUUUGACCAUAAAUCAAAAGUUUUAUGUUGCAAAGGUUAAAAUAUUAUAAAUUUUUUUAACACAAAAUUCGAAUUAGUACAAGAAAAAGUGUUCAUAAUUUACUGGAGUAGAAAAAUGGGUGAAUAGCAAUUUUAAACAUAAUUAAAUAUAUAACAAUAUUUAAAAAAAUUACAAUUAUAGUUGAGUCUAUUAGCAAUAUAUUUGACUUUUUUCAUCAUACACCAGUAUUUAUAAAAUGGUUUAUCAAUGAUAAACUUUUAUAAUACUAUUGAUAGUUUUGAUAGAUUGCUAUAUUAAUACUUCUUUUAAAUGUUAUUGUUAUAUAUGCUAAUAUUUUAAAUCUAAUUACUAUAUUUGACAAGUAUUCUUAGCUUUAACGUUUUUACCAUCUAAUUCAACAUCUCACCCCUCCAAAUUCCACAUCUCAGUAAACAAAGGAAGGGGGGAAGAAAUUAUUUUUACCAAUUUUUUAAAAGAAAAAGAAGAGAUUAGUUGCAAUUAUGUGUUACAUGAAUAGUUUUUUUUCUUAAAAAAAUGAAGUCCAAAAAAAUAGAUAAAAGAAAAGAUUUAAAAUUAAGAGAUAUGAAGAAUUAAAAAGAGCUUUGCUUAAAUUAGGUACACCAAUAUAUUGUUAAAGGUUGGAAGGAGGAGCUUUUGUAGUUACACCUUCGUAUAGUGGAUAGAGAACAUCUCUGGAUGAAUAGGUGUUAGGAGAAGUAUGUCAAUAAAUUUAUCUAAACAACCUUAAUUAAUGACCUAUAAAGUAGUCCAUCUAAAAAAAUACUUUAGUUUUUGAACAUUUCUAGAGUAGACAUGUUUCAAAAAUUACCUCAACAUAAUUCAAAAGAAAACCAUAUUAAUGAACUAAAAAGACAAACUAUAAAUUAUAAAUUAAAUUGAACACUAAUAGUGGUGUCAACCCCUGUCUUUCCAUAUAACUAAAUGAUCCUUGACUACUUAACUAAAUACAUGACAAAACUCACUCACUCUUAAUAGUUAGAAACAUUUUUAAAUAUAGCAAAAUGAAAAUAUUUUAUAAAAUUUUAGAAUGUAAUACUAUAAAUAGGAUGGGGAAUGGAGAAUGGAGAAUGGAGAAUGGGGAAUGGUUGACCAAAUAAUUAAUUUAUUAUAUUUAUGUAGGAGGCAUAUUAGCAUAUACCUUAUCCCUUAGGUGCACCACACUUAAAAAAAAUGCAAUCAAUUAUGGGCAGCCAUAUGAGUAUGUAUAUAUUUCCCAUACCAAACCAAAAUUUAAAGGAAAAUUGAGAACUACAAUAUUAUGUAAAAUUUAACUCAUUUUUUUAGUGACUUUCUUGAAAAUUGAAAUCAUUUUAUAAAAUGUAAAGACGAAAAGAAAAAAAGAAAACCUAUACUCAACCUAAAAAGCUUUAAGAAAGAAUUUGCAAAAUUGCACCACAUUUUAGUUUUACAAAAUUAACAAAAUAAGGACCCUCAAACUCUACCGUAUCCUUUUUUGAUAUAGCUUUCAUAUAAAUUAUUAUGAAGGCUUGAUUUAUCAACUAUAUAAUAUUUAUAAUCAGGGAUGGGUUUGGAAUACACUCUCAAUUUUUUAAUUUAAAAAAUAAUUACAAUUUUUAAAAUUAAACAAAUUUUUUUAUAUCAAAACUGUUUAAAUAUAAAUGAGAGUUUUUAAAAACAUUUUCUUCCUCUCAUCAAUCCAAAUAAUCCUACUUGUCUUGGUUGUGUUCGAUGUUCUAUCAUUGAAUUGUGUCGUGUAAUUUUACAAAAGAUAGAUGAAAUAUUUAUCUUCUAUAUAUAUAAUUUUGAUAAUGAUUGUUGUUAUACUAUUAAGUAAAUAUUUUCAAAUAUAGCAAAGUAAGACAAUUUUUUCAAUAUUUUUAUAUAUGAUAUACUUAUAUAUACAUGACAUAUAAUUGAUAUAUCUGAAAAUCUACAAGAUUAAAAUGUAAGAAUAACUAAAGGGUUGUUGUUUGAUAGUAAUUUGUUUUUCUAAAUUAUGUUCUUUUCCUUCAAAUAUUUUUAUCAUGGUUUUCCAUUUUUCUUUUCUUAGUAAGAAUUAUAAGUUUUCAAACAAGAUAAGAUUAGUAAUCUAUCUUAACUACAUCAACCAAAAUCUUGAAUUUUAAGCCAAAAUUCCAUUAAAAAAUAAUAAAGUAACUUUUAAAAAAUAAAAAAAUUUUAAAAAAACUCCAAAAAUUAGAUAAGCAAUUAAAGAAGUUAAAAGAUAAUAGUAAUUUAUUAAAGAUGCAUAAUUUAUUUAAGUUUUUUGAAGGGUAAAACAGUAUACAGUUUUUGAGUUAGUAUGGAGUUCUAAUAAAAUUUGGUGCACUAUUAAUGCUAGUAUCAUCACUCUUUCUUAAACAUAGUUUUAAAGAAUAAAAAGUCAAGGUGUUGUUAAGAAAAUAUUUAGUUUUUUGUUUUUGCGAAUAUCCUUUUUCAGCUUUAUCUAUCCUCUUCCAAUUGUUCCUAAAAACAAAGCUAAAUUUGAAAUAACUAACAAAAAGGAAAUAACUAAAAAUUAAAUAAAUAACAAAUAGGUGCAAAUUGUUAUCAAAACCAUGCAAACAGAUUAAUUUUAGUGAUAUCAACCACUCAAAUAUCAGAUUAUCAAUUAAAUUGUAAUUAUUAUUAUUAUUUGGUCUAAUAUUAGUAUUUUUCCAAUCAUAUCUUUUUCUAUCGACAUUUAAGUAGGGGUUAUUUAGUCUUUUUUGCGAUGCAUUAAAGUUUUGAUUGAGAAACUAUUGCUCAUAGGUUGUUUUGGAGAGAUUUUUAGGUUUUGAGUUUUAGGCAAAUAACAAAAGUUUCAUCAUGAUUCUUUUGCAAUUCUUCAUUUAGAGUUACAUGUCAAGUAGGGAGUUAAAUACCAAAAUAAUGUAUUUUUUAAAACUUAUUACCAAAGUAUUGUCCUUUUUAAACUUUUAACCAAAAACAUGGUUGAUUUUAAAAUUUACUAUAAAAAAGAAAAGAAAAGGGAAGUGGAAGACUCGCCCUAAUAAAAAUAUAAUAAAAGAAUGGGUGAGUCUUGUUAAAAGAAAAAAGAAAAACAAAACCACAUUGUUUCACUCUAUUUUCUUUCCUAUCAUAUUGUUCCAAAAUUUAUAUACCAAUUCUUAUUUCUUUUCGAAUAUUCUUAACAUUACGUUAGCUUUACCAAAUCUUAUAUUAAAAUUGUCAAUUCUUUUCCUCAAUUUCUAUUUCAAUCACAUUAAUUUUCAAAUGGUUUUAUCAAUUAAGAAUUAUCUAAAUAUAUUUUACAAAUGAUUUUUGCAGUUUCAUUUCUAUAUUUGGCUAAUUUUUUAAAUAUUUGAUAAAUUUUAAAUUAUAAUUGUUUUAAACCAUCUUAUUGUUUUUAAGUUCUAAAAUAUAAACGAGAUAAUAAAUAUAGUCUAAAUUUAGUUUGAAUUUUAAAAAUUAAGAUCUUUUGUAGUGUUAUUAUAUCAUUUAUGUAAAUUUUGUUUUCAGUAAGUUUGAUCAAAUAUUCAUAUUUGUCGAUAUUGUUUUUUCUUUUUUUGCAAACCUAUUUUUGAAUUAAAAAAUAUUUUGUAUUUUUAAUUGUUUGAUUUAACUAGAGUUAUAAACUAGUUGUCAUAUUUUCAAGUUCAUUAGAUUGGCAGAAAUAAUAUGAAUUAAUUUUAUUUUUUUGGCUCCUUUUUAUUUUAUUUUAUUUUUGCUCCUUUUUAUUUCUUUCAUGCAGAUUCAAACAUUUUUUAUUUUAUUAUAUGUAACUUUUAUGAUUAAUGUGAUAGUAUAUAUAUAUUUGUAGUUCAAACUAUUUUAAUUUUAGUUUUUAUAAUUUAUAUGAUUUUAGAUUAUGCUUUACAGUAUAAUAUUCUAAAUUUAUAUUAUUAGCAUUAAAUGAUUGAUAAAUUUGUUUAAUAAAAACAAACAAAUAUUAUGCUUAUAGUUUGAUUUAUAUUAUUAGUAUUAGCUGUUAUAGAUGAUUUUGUUUAAUAAAUACAAGCGUCUUUAGCUAAUAUGACCUAAAAUAGUAUACCAUAUUACAAGAUGAUACAAAUUUUUCAAAAAAUUUCUAAAUUGACUAAUAUUUUACUUAAAUAUAGAGUAUAAAUGAUCAAUUUAUUCAUAUUUAUAAUUAAUAAUAUAUUAAAAAAUAUAAAAAAGAAUAUAGACCCGGUCUAAGAUUCGCAUUUAUUAUAUAUCUUAUGUAAAUAUGUUAAGUGAUUAAUUUUAUUAUGAUAAUAAUAUAAUAAAAAUUAUCCCUUGACUAUUUUUCUUUUGAUGAAAAAUUAAUCCCUUCUAACCUCUCUCUCACUUUCUAAUCUCUCCGACUACUUUUCUUUCGUUUUGUAUUGUUUUUCAAAUAUUGAUCGAGUCUUUACAUACAUUAAAUUUGUAAGUACUAUAUUAGAGCAGACUCUUCUUGUUAUUUGUCAUAUCAUAGCCUUCUAUAUUUGUCUAUAUUUAUUUAGUUUUACAAGGUUUUGUAUAUUUAAGAUUUAAUUAUGUACAAGAUUCAGUUAUUUUUUUUAAAUAUAAUUUUGUUAGAAAAUAUAUUAAGGGUAAAUUUCAUGAUUGUUUUAAAAAAAUAGUAAAAAACUAUUUAUAUACCUAGAAAACAAAAUUUGUUAGUAAAAUAUCUAAAAUUUUCAAAUAAAUCUAUUUUUAAAAAAUAUUUUACUAACUUUUUAAAUAUUUGACCAAUUUCAAAUUAUAACUUAUUUUAAGUUUUAAAUUAUAAAUAAGAUAAUAAAACUUAUCUAGAUUUUGUUUGAAUUUUAAAAAUGAAUUAAAAAAAUUUAGAUAUUUUUUAUAAUGUUUUUAUCUCAUAUCUUUAUCUUUUAAAAACUAAAUAAUAAUAAGUACUAUAGUUUAUAAUUUAAAUCUAACAAAUAUACUAAUAAUGUUUUAAUUAACUUUGGUAACAAAAAAAUUGUAACAACCAAAUUAAAUCAAUAAAAUAUGUAGUAUACAUUCAUUUUUUUUUGAUUGAAUGAAAAUUGUUAAAUUAUUAUAUUAGACAUUCUGUUUUAUCUUUUAAUUAUUUUCCAAUCUCAAAAGCGCUCACUACUAUGAUAUACAAUAAAUAUCCCUAAAUUAGGAAAUUAAAGUAGACAUAAAUUUACAAAUUAAAGAAAAAAGUUGAAUGAAAUUUUAUCGAUUUAAAAAUACAAAUGAAUAUACAUUUUUAAUAAAUUUUAAUAAUAAUAUAAUUAAUUUUCAUAAAAUAAAUAAUUUUUUUCAAUGAAAGUGAGAAAAGUAAAUGGAUAUUAAAUUUAAAAAUAAAAUUGGUUUUCAUAAAAUAAAUAAAUCUUUCUCACGAAAGACAGAAAAAUAAAUGUAUAUUAAAUUAAAAAAUUGGAAUUUAAUUUUGUUGCCAAAAUAAAAUUUAUUUGUUGUAUAAAAUAAAAAUUAAUUAAAAAAAUAUAUUAUUUCAAAAUAAUCAACUGCAUGAAAAUGAAAUAAGAAAAGAAAAAUAAAAUAAAGGACGAGUAUUAUGAAAGAGGAAAAAAAAAUUAAACAAACAUAGGGCGAGUAAUUUUGAAGACUCGCCCUGUCAAAGAGCAAAAGAAAAAAAAAUUAAAACACCUAUACUUUGGUAAUUAGUUCGAAAACAAGUAUAUUUUGAUAAUUACCUUUAAAAAAUGUAUUAUUCAUAUAAUUAUUUUCGAAAAUCAUUUAGUUGGUCCAAUCAUCUUGCUUGUGUAGUAUUCAAACGUAAAAUAAGAGACUUGAUUAUAUUUUUUUCAUUUUUGAUCUUCAAUCAAAGGGUAAUUCAAAUUUAAUCAUAGAUUGUAUUGUCAAACUGGAUUCGGUUCAAAAUCCUAAAGUAAUUCAUUAGCUUUUUUUCUCUCAUUUCCUCCUGGUUGAUUUUCAUAUUUUCUAAUGUUUUGUUUUUUUUCUUUUCAUAAUUUUUGGACAAAUUUCCAAAACAAAAAACGACUAUUUCAAAAUUUUAUUUUAAAAAUACUUUGUCGAGAGUGAAUAAGAAAACAAAACUUUUAACCAAUACAUGAAGUAUGGUGAAGAACAUAUUAUGAAUAUGAAAAUCAUAUUUUUUUUAAAAAUCUAAUUGACCAAUUAAAUUAAAAUAAAAUCUAUAUCUACUAUCAAACGUUGUUAUUAAGCAUUUUCCUCUUGGAACUAAGCUUUAGCUUUUGCAUGUGGCUUUCUGGUAGAAUCAACCUUUUUUUCUUGUACAUAAUUGAGUACCAUUACCUUUGAUUCGACUUUAAUAUUAUUCAAUACAAAAACUCCCAAAUUAAUAGUUUGCUAAACAAAAUGUUCGUAUAGAAAACAAUUAAAUUAAGAAGUUCAAUUUGUGAAGACAUUAUGAAUUUCCAUUAUCAAAGUGCAACAAAUUACGUCACUCCCAACAUUAAAAUAAUGGACUACAUCACCACUUAUGUACCGUUGAUUUAUUCCUAAUUAUUUUAGUAUUAUGAAGCAGAAUGAUGUCCAAAAUAUUCUUUUCUCCUAACAUUAUUUUUCUAAAAAAAAGCUACAUAUUUUUGACAUUUCCAAAGAUAAUUACAUACAGCUGGACAAAAGCUUAUAAACAAACACUAAAUUACAUAACCAAUACAAAACUGCCUUACAAUAUAAUUAUAUAUUUGUAUUAACAAAUUUGCCCUUGACUUCCAAGGUUCUCCUCCUUUUGUUUUCCACAUAAAAGACUCUCCUUUUUGCUUUGCUAUCUCAGAAAAUUAUAUGUUUUCAUUUGAAAUAGAAGAAACCCUUUUGUAAUUUGUUUAGAAAAAGAAAUCCAUAAUUAUUCCCAGCUGCCAGCUUAAUUAUAUUAUUUCUUGCAUUUUUUGUUCUUGAUUUCUCUUGAAAAUGGUUUGGGGUUGCUUUAGUUGCAUUGGUGGCCACCACAAUAAAUCACAAAAGAGGUAUAUGCUUUAUAGAAUCCAUUAUUCUACAUGAAAUUUGAUACUUUUGAUAUAAUCUAAGCAAGAUUCAUUUCAUUUGUUGAUGUGUUUGAGAAUCAAAUCUUACCCUUUUUUUUUUCCUUUCUUUAAAUUAGUAUGAAAGAGAACGUAGAUUAUCCAUGGGAAAUCUACACUCUCAAGGAGCUUCUUCAAGCCACAAAUAGCUUCAACAAAGAUAACAAGAUUGGUGAAGGAGGAUUUGGAAGCGUUUAUUGGGGUCGAACGAGUAAAGGUGUCGACGUAUGUAAUUAUCAAGACAACAAUUUUCUUAAUUUAAAUUUAUCGUAACUCUUCGGUUAGUGUUAGAUUGUCUCGAUUGUUUUUGUUGAGUUGAUUUGAUGAAAGAUGUUGAUGUUAUGCAGAUAGCGGUGAAAAGAUUGAAGGCCAUGACUGCAAAGGCAGAGAUGGAGUUUGCAGUUGAAGUGGAGAUUCUUGCUAGGGUUAGACAUGAAAAUUUGUUGGGUUUGAGAGGAUUUUAUGCUGGUGGAGAAGAAAGACUUAUUGUAUAUGAUUACAUGCCAAAUCAUAGCUUGCUUUCCCAUUUACAUGGUCAAUUAGCUGAUCAAUGUCUUUUAGAUUGGAAAAGAAGAGUGAACAUCGCCAUUGGAGCAGCCAAAGGCUUAUCGUGAGUAUUUUUUUUUAAUUUAAAAUCACUUUUUAGGAGUCAAAAUAAAAAACUUAAAUUUUAUCAUCAAUUUUAUGUCACUAGAAGGAUUGUUCAAUAAAAAAAAAUAUACUAGGGUCGUACAACUCACUAUCUCAUCAUAUAAUUUUACAUGAUAAAUUUAUUAUUGAAAAAUCAAUUAUUAGGCGCAGUCUAGAGUACAACUAAUCAAGCAAAUAACUAAUGUUUUGAAAAAAAUAUCAAAUGGCAAGCUAAUUUUUAUUGGUAUGAAAUUUGAACUCCGCGAGAAUAAUGCACCAAAGGUUUUUUCUUCUGUAAUAUUGUAUUUUAAAUUGUUUUUCUAAUUUAUGAUGGAAGAAGAUGUAUGAAAAUGAGUGCAUUCAUAUAUUUCUGUUAUUUAACUUAUUUAAUUGAGAAAAUUUUGUGUUAUUGGUGUGAAGGUACUUACAUCAUGAGGCACAACCUCAUAUAAUACACAGAGAUAUAAAAGCAAGCAAUGUUCUUUUGGACUCGCAUUUCGAAGCAAAAGUUGCUGAUUUUGGUUUUGCAAAGCUAAUACCGGAUGGGGUUUCGCAUUUAACCACAAGAGUUAAAGGGACUUUAGGAUAUUUAGCUCCUGAAUAUGCCAUGUGGGGAAAGGUCGCUGAAAGUUGCGAUGUAUACAGUUUUGGAAUUUUACUUUUAGAAAUCGUUAGUGGUCGAAAGCCAUUAGAAAAGCUUCCAAAUGGCACGAAACGAGAUAUUGUUCAAUGGGCCACUCCAUAUGCUCAAACCGAAGAUUUUGAUCAAAUUGCUGAUCCAAGAUUGAACCAAAAUUAUGAUGUUAAUGACUUGAAAUCUAUUGUGACCAUUGCCUUAAGAUGCACUGAUGGAAAUGCUGAGAGUCGUCCGAGUAUGAAACAAGUGGUUGCUUGGCUUAAGGAUGGCUUGGAUACAAAGAAAGAAAUGCCUCAUCUCAAAAAUAAUGAAACUCCUCGUGAAGAUGAAGAUCAAGGUCAAGAAAAUUAUGAGAAGAAGCAUACAGAAUAUGAGGAGCUUGGGAAACAGCAAUUUGACGAUGGUGGGAUAUGGAGGUGAAAAGAAUUAAGAUGAUCAUUAGUAUUUUCCAAUUACAUAAUUUGAUAAAUUUUCAGAAUUGGGGUAUGCAAUUCUUGGCCCUUUUGAAGAAUAUUUUGUAUUUAUAUAUAAUAUAAGAUAUGUAAUUAAUUAAUGGAAGUGGAAAAAAGAAAAGGGAGAAGGAGACAAAUUUGACUUGGUUUUUUUGUUUUCUUUGUGUACACAAAUUAAAUGGUCGAUGGUGUUAUAAGGGUAUAUUUCAUGCAACCAUCAUCUCCAUUUAAUUAUUUCCUUUAAAUUAUGUACAUAUCUUUCUAUCAUUUGAAACAUUUGGACAAUUAAAUAGGCCAAUACAAAUAGACCAAGCAAAUAAAAUUGGCAAUAGUUUUAUAUUUUAUUUCCCAUUUAUAAGGAGAUUUUAUCACUUGGAUUGGUAUCAAUAUGUAAGUUAGCUAGAGAUUUAUACAUAAAUAUUUAAUGAGAGGGUCCAAUCACAACGUUUGCCUAACUAAUCUAACCAUUGACUUGUUUAUCAUAUUGUUUUUGGAAAAGGGGUCUUAUUAUCAUGUAUAUACUUUUUAGAAUAUUUGCAAUAAUGGGAUAAGAAUUUUCAAAUAUGAAAUUUUGCAAGCUAGUUGUUGUUGGAGAGUUUGUUUCUGUUAAUAUCAUUCACUGGUUUCUUUACUAAUAAAACUUCAACAAUAUGGUUUUAAUAUAUGUUAUCUAUAGUUGUUUAUUUUGUCUUAAUGAUAUAUACGUGUAAUGCAUGUUCUCUACAACAUGUCUUGAAAAACACAUUAAUCUGUAAAAAAGAAAAAAAUUAUUUGUUAGAGAGAUUGAUCUGCUUAUUUUGUAGUUCGUUGAUUUUUUCCUGAAAAAUCUUCUCAUACAGUUUCCCACAUAUAUAUUGUGGUUUUGACUUUUAGUAUUUGACACUUUUGAAGUCUAUUUUGAUUCAUUGACAUGUGUUGAACGUGUAGAUUUUGAAUAUUUCUUUAGAUCUUAUUGAAUUGUUCUACUACAUCUUCAAAAGGGGAUUCUCAAUCUUAGGGGACUAAGAUUUUAAUGUGAAGUUGUCUUCAUUUAAAGUGAUCUGAAAAAUACAAGUUAGAGAGAUAGAGAAUUGUACUUAAUGGAGCUUAAGGGAUCAUUCACGGGUACUCUUAUACAUACUUAGGGGGAGUCGAAUUAGUACGUGAAAGGUGACGAGAUCUUACAUUUAGGAGGAGUCUAAAUUUCAUUAAGAGGAGUUUCAUACUUAGGAAGACCUAAAAUGGUCAUUCUCUCAUACUCUCUCACAUUUAUGGAGAGUCUAAGUUUCAUUAAGAGUGAGUUUCACAUUCAUUGGAGGACCUAAAUUUCAUUGAGAAUAAAUCUCACAUUUACGAAGAACCUAAAUUUUAUUGAAAAUAAAUCUCAUACUUAGAAUGAACCUAUAUUGAUCAAACAUGAAGUUAGGCUAUCACAUACUUAUACACGUGAACCUAUUACAUACUUAUUUUUCUAAGAAAAAAACACUAAAAUUGUAAUAUGAUGUUUUAUAUGUUAAUCAAAUUAUAUAAAGAACAGGGUAGGUUUAAUAUUAAACCUACUCAGCUCUUUUGUUUUAACUUUAGUUAGUAUAUUUUGUUUAAAGGUUUUUUUUAAAAAAAAAAAGUUAUAGACAAGGUAUCAUUCUUUCGAUAAAAUUUCAACAAAUAUUGAAACAAUAAAAAAAUAUAUAUACUAUGAUAAAAGAAACCAAACUUUUAGAUUUUUUUUUUUUAGUUCUAAUAGAACCUUCAACCUCUACAAAUGUAAGUCAGCGUAUAAGGGAAGUUGAUUUUGAGAUCAUUUUUAAUAAAGUAUGAUUAACAAUUUGAAUGUGGUCACAACAAAGGACACACAAGUUAAAGAAAUUUUAAUAUAUAAUGUGAUGAGUGUAUAAGACAAAAUAAAACAAUACAAAAUGAAGAGUAAAACCUUUAUUCAUAGAAUUUUCAUGGGCCUGAAAGUGGGCUUGAGCCGUAGUUGGCUUUUAGGCCCAACAAUUCAACAUAGUGUUUGGUCAAGAGUGAAUCUUGUCCAAUAUUUUAUUCAUUAAUCAAAUUUUAUAUUUGUUUUUUUAUAAAAGGGGUUCUCAUCUAAUUUUCAGAACGGAAUUAGAUAGAAUUGGUAUUGAAAAAACAGUAAAUUUGGUAAUUGAUAAUUUAAUACGACAUUAAAUUAUAGUCUUAGAUAAGGGUUGAAUUGAUCUUGUAAUUAAUAUAUUCACUCACAGCCGUCUUAAGAGUUCAUAACCUUUUAGUGUUACAUCAUUAAUAGAGAGCUGGGGGAGUUGUCGAUUAUUUACUACAGAAUGUACUUUAUCAUUAUGAACUUUUAUUAGCCAAUACGACUUUAAUCAAUAUCCAAUUUCAAAUUAUUUAUUUACAUUGAGAAAAAGGUUGGACUUAUGGCCUAAACACAAAUUAUUUGAUUUAAAAUAAUUGUGCAUGUUUAUGAUUAUGUCACAGAUGUUCAUUGCUGUGUUACACGUGCAUGAUUAGCUGUACAUUCAUUUUUGAAAAAAGUAAACUGAAGAUUCAUAUUUUAAUAGAUUAUAUGAAAAAUGUGUUUGGUAGUGGUAAAUAAUUGUUUACAUUUUCAUUUAUUUUCGCUUUUUCUCACUUGAAAAAGUAAAUUAGCAAUAAUGCACUUUUAGAAGUAAAAAUCAAAUUGAACUAGCAAAGAUUUUUCAAAGAAAGUUUAAAGUUGGAAUUGGAAAAAUACUCCUAAAACUUUCAUAUUUGUUAAAAAAAUAUUAUUGUUUUUUUUCCCUAAAGUUGGGAGUAGUGUUAUUUGAGCUUAAAACUAAUUCCUUACGUAAAAAUUAUUUUCAAUUUUGAACUAAGAGUAUGAACUAUUUGGAGAUUGAAUCUUAAGGGAAGAAUAUCAGGCUAAUCACCAAUGAACGAAGCUGAUUUUGGCUAUAAUGAGUUUUAUGUUUUGUUUACAGUUUAUCUCUAUGUUUCGAUAUUUACAUUUUAACCUUUCUUUUCCACUAAAAAUUUACUUUUGAUGUUUUGGUGUCAAUGUCAGUUAACUAUAAUUUUAAAUAGCUAAAUUAUUUAGAGUUAAAUUAAUUAUUUUCAAUUUUUAAAAAUUAUAUUAAUUAAAAAUAUUUGCAUGAUACUUAUUUUUAAUUAACCCAUAUAAUAAAAAAUUAAAUUGUUAAAGUAAGCUUACAUCAAUCAUCGUUGACAUGAACUUUUAUGUUAAAGGUGAAAGGUUUGAUCCUCAAUUUUCUAUUUCGACUAAAAAAGUUAAUUAUAAAAUUAUAAAAUAUUGAAAUUUAAUAGAUCAAAUGAAAACAAGAGUCAAAUAAAAUCAAAUUAAAAACUUUGGGACAAAAGUAUAUGGCUAUAAAACUUAAAGCACCAAGGAUGGAAACAAAAACCUAAAUCUCAAACCUUACAAGGAUAAAAGAAUCUCCUCUUUCAUUGUUUUUUUCCUUACGUAAUGCAAUGAUUCUAUUUUGAUAUAUUUUUUUUUUAACAAAGUACUCAAUGACAAGAGAUUAGAAGACAUCCAGAUAUCUCAAUAAUGAUUCUUAUCGUUUCGUCAUUUUUGCUAAACACUACACAAGUUUUCUACUUAAGGAAGGAAAUUUCCAAAAGCCUAAUUAAAGACAAUAAAUUAUACAAAAUAACUUUUCAAAAUUCUUAUGGCAAAAUAAAAAUAUAGAUUGUGGAAAGCUAUGGUAGGGCAUGCGGAACCUGCAAGAAGACUUUAAAAAAACUAAUAAUACUAAAGGCAUGGAAAAGAGUGAAUUUUGGUUUGGCUUUUGUAGGCCAUGACCGGAAAAAGGAGUCUAACAAGAAGAAAAGAAAGCAUUAGUAAGCUUUUAAAUUGCCUUGCUUUUAUGUGAAACAACUCAAUACCAAAUCAAUACAUAGAGAAGAAUAGUAAGAUUAAAAAUAAAUUGCUUCUCUCUAAUUUGUUUUGUACUUUUUUAUUGAUUAAUAAUAUUAUUUUUGGUAUUAGAGUGGGAUGAAUGUGCUACCUAAUUGACAUGUCUUGGUGCACUAUUGAUCCCUCUUGACGUGUGAAUUUUUUUUUUUUAAAAAAAAAACUUUUACCUCUCUCACAACACUCCAUUUAUGACAAAAUUUUCUUAUUAAUGAUCUUAUGUUGAAAAAUGGAAAGGUCUCACACUAUUUAUAAGAUAGACUACUAUUUUUAUUGUCAAAUCGAUUUUGAUAUAAACUUUCAUGUUAUUUAAGUAUUGAAUAUGAAUUCAUGUUUAUUUAAGACGAUAUCAAUGUCUAUAAAGCAUAGAUGAGUAUUUAGUAUAAUAAAAAGAAAUUGUGACUUUAAUUGAUGAUGGAAAAAGAAAAAAAGAAAAAUUUAAGAAGAAGUAAAAGAAUCUCACAUUUUACAAAAAAAAAAAAAAAUCAAUAUCCCUCACAUAUUAGAUACAAAACUGUUUCUUCAUUACUAUUUAGUUUUGAAACAAAAAAAACUUAAAGUUAUCUAACAUUUCCUUUUUUAAAAAGGAAAUAUGUUUGUUUCUACAUUGUGAUUGAAAGUGAUAUGAUGAAGAGACGAGUUGGAAGAAGGCUACACGUGAAAGAUAAAAAAUGAGGGAAAGAGAAGAACAAGAGCAAGGGAGUCCAUAUUAAAAAAAAAAAGAAAAAAAGGAAAACGAAUUUAUUGGGGUUGUUAUUACCAAUUCCCAUAUCCAAAAAGUACAAUUUUUGUAGUAAAAAAGCAGAGCAAAAGGGUACAUCCCAAAUAGGGCAUGCAUGGAUUGAAAAUAUAAGAAGAAGAAGGGAGGGCCUUUGUUUUUUCUUGUUCAUUUUAGUUUGAUUUGAUAUUAAAAAGAAAAAACCCUUAGUUGGGAUGUGAGUGAAGGAAACAUAAAUACAUAGUAUUGCCCAAUCCACGCAAAAAAAGAAGGCGUUGUUGGGUUCACAAUCCCAUUAAAAGGAAAAAGGUGUAUUUUUAGGGUUUAGGGUUAGGGUUUUAGGGUUAAGGGGGUGAGCCGGCCUAAUGUUGAAGGGGUAGGGUUUAGGGUUUAGAGUGUGAUCGUCGUUUUCAUAUGCCCUCAUUUAACGGUUUGAGAAAUUUUUUUAAAGAGAAAGUAAGGGCUUUCUUUUUUUUCUUUUUCUUAUAAGAGCAUUUAUAUGAAUGGUCAAUUUUCAACAACAUAGCAGCUUUAUUUGCACGCAAAUACACAAAUAACCCUUUCUGUAUAUUAUAUAUAUAUCUUUGUACCUAUAUAUGUGUAAUGCAAUCAACACAAGCCACAGCCAGCCAUAAUAUACCAAAUUCCAAGGCUCACGUUUAGUACUGCUACUGACUUUCUCUUCUCAAUUCUUUAAAUUUUCUUACUUUUACUUAUUAUUGUUAUUAUUAUUAUUAUUAUUAUUUGGAGACUUUUUAAGUUUUUUUAUUUGUCGGCUUGUGAGAUAUUGAUAUUAAUUGCUGGAAGCAUUGUGCUUCAUCAUUCAUCAUAAUAGUUAUGUGGUUUACUUUUACGUUGUACUUCCUCUGUAUAUUUGGAUAAAUCAUUAAUGACUGUCAAUUUCAUAUUUUGUGUUUCAAAUCAAUUUUGUAACUUUAAAUUUGACAACACUUUCGAAGAUAGGAAUGAUGUUCAAAGUAUCACCCUUCAAAACAAUUUGUAAAUUUAAUAAAGUUGAGAUAUAACUCUAAUUAGAAUAUCAGUCAAAUAAUACUAUUUUCAAUAGAAAAAAAGUGAUAAAAUUCUAUUUUGUUAUAUUUAUAGUUAUUUAAACGUUGUUAUGUAACAUUUAAUAGUAAUGGUGUGUUAUCCAUUCUAAUUACACUUAAAUCUUCUUUACUUUUUUUUAGAUCAAAUUUAAUUAUUUGUGUGUUUUAAAUAAUGAAUUCAACCUAGUCCAAUAAUAAAACAGGUGUGUUACAUUGGGUCAUUUCUUUAAAUUAUUUCUUUUAAAAAUGAGUAAAAUACUAAUAUUUAAAAAACUUAUGUGAUUAUUUUAAUACAUUUAAUUAAAAUUAGCCUCUCAAUUUAAAUUGGCAUGUGCUAUAAAUUUUCUAUUUCCAAACGUGUUAAAAAUGUAUUUUAAGAAUUAUUAGAGAAUAAAUUAUAUACAAAUCGUGAAAUUAAAUAAAAUUAUAAUAAAUGGAUGUAUACAUAAUAAUAAUCAUUUUAGUUAAAUUAUAUUUAUAUAAUUAUUAAAUAAAAUAAUUUAAUUAAUACUUAAUUAGUAAUAUCCAUCUAAUUAAGAUUUUAUUACUCGUUCUCUUCUAUUUCGUUAAAUAAUUAUUUCGUUCUCUUCUAUUUCGUUAAAUAAUUAUUUCGUUUUGAAUUCAAUAUACAAAUUCGUACAUCAAAUAAUACAUUCUCAACUCUCAAAUAUUAAUUAUCCUACAUAUCCAAACACAUACAAUACUUAUCUCACACAUUCAAAUCAUACAUAUUUAAUAUCUAUUAGAUUUUUAUUUUUGGAUCCACAUCUCAAGAGGAAACGGAGGAGAAAGUAUAAGGAGGGGUUUUUUUUUUUUUUUACUGUAUUUGCUCUUUGAAUUGUUUUGAAAAAUCUAACAUAUAAAAUGUAAGUGUCACAAUGCAAAUAUCUCCUAUAUCUAUUGAAGUGUGUCCACUAGAAAGAAACUUUGCUAUAUAUAAAGAGUUUAAUUAACAAUUACUGCACAAUACUUAUAUGAUUAAGCUCCUUUUUCUUAGUGUUCAUGCACAAUUUAACUCUUUAGAUUCAACUUAAUUGGACUCCUCCUAACUAGUUUGAGAUUCCUCACUUACACAACAUCUUCCAAGUUUUAUGUCAAGAAUAAUGAUAUUCUCAACAUUAAAUAAAUAUCAAAGUUUAAUAGUCUUUACGUCUAUUAAUAGUCGCCUUUCAAAAAUGUUUUUAAAAACAUGAAGUACUUUGAAAAAAAGUCAAGAGAGUUUGUUUUCACAAUAGUGUUUGUUACGCUCACAACAAUUUAGGCAAGCCUCAUUGAUAGCUAAAACCAACCCACAAUCGAGAAUAUAACUUUUUUUAAUUACAAUACAUGAAGGUUUUUGGCUCCUAAGCUCAAACCACUAAGGGCUUGUUUAAGGAUCGAUAUUGGAAUGUAACUAGAAACUAGUAGAAAAUUAGAGGAGUGUUGGAUUGCCUAAGAUACUAAGGACAAAACGAAAAUGAGAUUUUGAAGCAUGAAAAUUACUUAAAAGAGGGGUUGCAUUAAAAAUUAUAGAAAAGGAAUGAAUUAAGAUAUUAUAAAUCACACAUCCAAAACAUUCAAUCCAAACAUGCAAUUUGUAUCAAGUUCCAUUUCAAACUCAUCUCAUUCCAUUAAAACAGAUGGACCUCAAGGCUUAUUAGGGUGAAAAUAUUAAAAGGCCUUGAAAUGCAUACUUCUUUUUAAUUAUUAAAAGGUUAACCUCAAAAUUAAAGAAUACCACGGGAGAAAUCAAUCUUAAGUAGAUGAAAAUAACAAUGCAAGAGCUUAAACAUAAAGCUUUAUUGGACCCAUGCUUGAUACCAUAUUAUAUAUAUAUAUAUAUUUGAUAGUAUGGGAUUCUAUCUCAAGACCAAUUGACAAUGAAGGAAUAACUUAUCUAUCUUUAUAUGAAGUGUGAAAUUUCUUAAUAUAUUUCUAAUAUAGAAUUCGUCACAUGCUCCCUUAAUUGACCAAUCUUUUCAAAAGUAUUCGAACGUUACAAUUUCUCUCGACGUGUGUCAACCUUUACGUUGGCCAUAGUUUGACCAAUUCUGACGUCUCAUUUACGACGUUGGUAAAGGUUGAAAUUAUUAUUUAAAUGUUCAAUUUUUCCCGAUGUAGUCAACAUUAAUGUCGGCAUAGUAUGACCAAUUACUCAACGUCAUGCACAUGGAUGUCGGGGGAACAAAAAAUUGAAUAGUAAUUUUUAGCUUUCCUCAAGGCCACACACUUCCACGCCGGUCAUAGCUUGGGGAUCCUUGACGUUUACUUGCAUGGUGUUGGGGAAAAGAAAAAUUAUUAUUAAAAUGAAACUUGUUUGUGACGCCAUCGUGUAUUGCAUCGGUAUUUGGUCAGACUAUGUCGACGUCUUCACCACCAAGUCGAUUGAAUGAAACACUACUGACAUAGAUUUUACGGUGUCGGGGAAAGCUUUGUUUCUCGAUUUUGUCUAUCUCGAUGUCAUUUUGUGUGUCAGGAUACCUUCGUUUUCUUGUAGUACAAGAUGGUGUCUCUUUAAUUUUGGGUUCACCAAUCUUGAAUAGAUCUUAAUUUCUUUUUAUUAAGACCAAAUACCCAUUUUAGCUUUAUUUAUGGGUACUAAUGUCAUAUUUAAUAGCUAGGCAAAUAUCGGGUAAUGAAGACUGUUAGAAUAUAAUUAUAUAACCUUAACGUAGCUUGAGCUUUUAGGUCAAUAAACUAUUUAAUAUAGUUUUAGAUUCGCAUACUAUCUAAUAUGGUAUUAGAGUCCAUAAAGACUAAACAUAUAUUCGAUUCAACGAAAAGAUCAAAUUGUGAUUUGAUCAAGAAUGACCAAAAGAGGCACCAUCUUAAGAGACAUAUUGAGAAUCCUUUCAUUAGAAAAACAAAAGAAUAUAUCAUAGACCCCUUGUAAGAAUAGAUAAGCUACUUCUCAAAAUUAAUUUCAAUUGAUUUUUAGAUGGAACUUGGCAUACUAUCUAAUAGAUCGAAUUAGUUGUUAUAGGUGAUAGUUGGAGUUGACCAUUGAACAGAGUUGUUGGAGAUGAUGGUCCUCAAAAGAAGGGAUCAAAUGUGGUUUUUGUUGGAUCCAGACAUCGAAGUUGGUCAAAAAAAUAGUCGUCAUUGAUUUGAUUAGUGAAGGUCGUUUUCCCUUAAAUUGGUUACUAGAAGUGGUGAUCGAAGUUGAUCGCUAAUGAAGAAACUUAUUGUACUAAACAUAAGAGAAGAUGGAUUUGAUUAUUAUUUAAAUAGGAAUCUUCAAAUAUCUUCACAAAUUAACUUUAUUUAGUGGUCUAUAUAUAUAUUUUUAAUUUUGGCAGACGACACGUGUGCCAAAUUAUUUACCAAAUUCACUCACCAAGCACUAAUUUUAAUGGUAUUUAAAUUCGAGUCGAUCAUAGAGGAGUACAGUGAUUCUCAAACAAACUAAUGUUCAAUCACGUUACCUAAGGGGAGGUUUGAGUUGAAACUGAAUCUAAGAAAGUAAAUUGCAGAGAAAGAAAGUAAAAUAAAAUAAAAAUUAAAGAAUUUAGCUUGAGUUAUAACGAUUUCUCCUUUAUCCAAAGAAUCCAUUCAUCAAACUAUCAUCACUUAUUUAGGUGCAGCCUUCACAUAACCAAUUUAAUUACUUUAGAUAACAAAAUUGGCUCAAGGUUCCAAUUGUUAUAAUCCAAUAUAAAUUAACACUACAAGAAUUUCGGAGUUAUCCCGAUGUAGGAAAAUGCUUCCGAAUAAGCAUGUAACAUUGAAUUUUCCAACAACUUUAAGUUCUAAAGAUCCUUAGGUACGGAAUGCCUAAUUUUCAUGGUCGAAUUGACAUUCAAUAGGUCCAAUUUUAGGUUAAUUAGAACAAUGCACAUCAAUAAAUAGAAUUACAAACUAACCUAACCUAUUGCUUCUAACCAAACCUCAUCUAAUUGUCGCAAGGCAAAGAUUUGAUGCAAAGUGAAAACUAUAUAUUUUGUAUAACAAAACAUCAAUCAAAUUCAAAAUUGAAUCAAAGAUUACAUAAACAAAAGUUUAAGUUCUCAUGAAUUGAAAGGAAUAGAAUGAGAAUAUAAGAAACGGAAGCUAGAAAAUGGUAACUUGGCCUCUCACCCACAUGCUGAAUGAAAGGGAAUUGUUUGCGAUAAAAAAAAGACAAAUUUAAAGUGCUAAGAAAGUUAUAAGGAGAAAACAUAUUAGAGGAUACUGAAAUUAGACUAGGGUUUUCGUAGUAGUGUAAGUUCUUUUUACAAAAGAAACUUCAAGUUGACAGCCCCUAAAUUUCUGCGUGUGGGAUUAUCCACUUUCAACAUCACAGCGUUGCGGCGCUCAAGGCUUUUUUUACUAGCGAUUUCCAUUUUAUCUUACAAUGUCGUGCCUAACGUCGUAGGGCACUGCGACAAUGCAAGCUGACAAAAGAUAUGCUUCUUUUUGCUCAUCCCUCUUGGUUUAGCUCGCCUAAUUGGUUGAUGUCAUUUGCUUUCAAAUCACUUGAAUUAGCUUAUUAAAAAUCUAUAAAGUAUCCAAUUAAGCCAAAAAAAGAUAACAUAUUUCACAUGCUAGCUAUCACUCAACCUAAACACCAACAUAUUUUGAACCUAAACACCAACAUAUUUUGAACUUGUAUACCAGAUGUGAGAAAUAGGGCCCAUUACCAUGUAUGCAAAAUCAACGCAUGCUCAUAAAAUCAACGAAAUUAAUACAUGCUGAAGAUAAUAUAUCAUAAUUUAUAGUGAUCAUGUAAUUAACAGGCAACCUAAAAUUUAAAAAAGUAGUGAGAGUAAAAUUAAAUGGUGUUGAUGGUGCAACAGAAGCUAGUUAGAGCGCAUUAAUGUGGCCUUCUACCCAUACAUUUAUAAUAUAUACUUGUCCAUUUAAUUGGAUCAGAUUUUACAAUUUUAUCUUUUGUUAGGCCAUAAAUAAUGUGAACAGUAACAUUAUUAAACUUGUCUCAGUAAAUUAAAUAUAACAAUUUGAUAAAUAAUGUUUUAACUAUAUCAUUACAAUUGAUGAAAAAACUAUAUUAUUUUAUUUAUUUAUUUAGUUUAAUUGAGGGAUAUAUCUAAAGGGUGAAUAGAAAUUAGAAACAAAGGAGACAAUGAUAAAUAAAAUACAAUACACAAAACCCUAACUAUUCUUUUGAACAUUUUGAAAGUGUCUACCCAAAUAGUUUAAGUGUGGAGAGAUAUUUUAACCCCAUUGAAUGUGCUCAAUUGGUCUAUCACUCGACUAGGACAUGAAAUAUUUCUAUUUUAGCCGAGUUCUAAAUUGAAAUUUUUUUCUAGUUUUCUGAGAAAAUUAAAUUAUCGACCUUUUAAUUGGAAAUUGAUCGAAUGAAUUAUUAUAUAAUAUUAUACUUUAUUAAUUAGCUACUAUAUUGCCACAUGACGAAAAUGCCAUAUAAUUAAUCUCAUGUAAUUUUUGAAACCAUAUGUGUACCUAUUGAAAUAAACGUUAUAUAUAUCAUGUUAUCCAAGAAGGCCAAAAAGGUUAUAUAUAUAUGUAGGCAACAAUAAUGCAUCUUCUAGGCCUUAUACAUUGAUAAUUGUACUUCAACAGAUGAGAGGGAAAAUUACAAUAAAGACUAUUCAAGUAGUUCAAAUUUAAAAAAUAUAAAAGAUAAAAAUAUUUUAUCAAGCAAAUAAUUUCAUAUACACAUUCAAUAUUACUGUUGGAUAGAGAAAUGAGUAAUAAAGAUUGAAAAUUCUAUCCCACAAUAAUGCUUGGAGCAUAGAAAUAUGAUAUUCUUGAGUUAUCUUACAACACCUUUCUAGCACUCUAUGAUAUGUAUAAAUGAUUUAAAGGUAAAGUUUUUGUAGUGUUGCUAAGGGAAGUCAUAUCUAUCCCUUUUUCCAUGAAAUGAAAUGGAAAGAAGUAUAAAUUAAAGCUAAGAAAAGGCACUUUAUUUUUCCAUAUGGAAGGACAUGGAUUUGUGGGCCUAAAACUUAGGCAUAACACCCCAUUAGGAAACUAGACAAAAGAGUCCUUACAUAUAUAGUGCCCAACACAUUAUGUCAAAGCAUUAUACAAUCAACUAGUGAUUUCAUCAUACUAAAACCUCUUCUACUUUUCUAUAUAUGUUUAGUUUUUGCAGUUUUUUUCCAACUAUUGAAAUCUUUUCAAUAUGUCACAUGUCGUUUCAUCAAAUGACCAAACAUGAAAUCAUCUAUGAAUAAUAUACUAUAUACAUAAACUCUUUAACUCCAUCUAAAAGACGUCUUUAUAAUCUUUGUAAUAUAAUAAUUUUUUUAAUAAUAAAUUUGUUUUUUCUUUCUUUGUUUAGUCUCUAUAAUCUUUGUAAUAUAAUAAUUUCUCUUUAAUAAUAAAUUUGUUUUUUCUUUCUUUGUUUAUGACGGAGUGAAUACGACGUUAUCCAAUCACAUGAAUAUUUGUAUCGAACUUCCAUUGUAAAUUCUUAAUUACUCCCUCCUCUUUUCAUACAAAAUAAAGGAUGCUUUAAUGUAAAAUAUUUAAUUGAGAUGUUAAUUCUAAUUGGCAUAUAGCACUAACAAGUGCUGAAAAAGGGUUUGGAUCAUAUACUUGCAUUUUGAAGUCCCCUUGAGAUACCAACUACCGUCCAUACAUAGUACACUUGUUUGUUGCAACUUUUUAAACAUUCAAAAGAUGGUUUUUAAGUGUUUGUACGACAUUGAAAGUCAUUCUCAGUAUCUUAAACCUUAACCUAUGUUUAACCUAAAAUAAUUUUGGUAUAGCUGCAAAUAGAGUAAUAAAAAUCAAAAUAUUAAUAUAUAUAACAUUUAAAAAAUUUACAUAUAUAAAAAGUUCCUCGAUGCUAGACUUCUAUCGUCUAGCUAAUAAAUUUUUGUGGUCUCUCACUGAUAAACCAUACAAACCUAUCGACGAUAGAAAUCUAUUACUCAUAUAUUUUAUUAUAUUUAAAAAUUUUGAGGAGCUCAGUACACUUACUUAUUAUUUCAAAUUAUUAGUUAUUACAAUUACCUAAUAUAAUAUACUUUUUUUUUUGAAGUGUUUGCAUGAUUUAAGUAGACAUUAUAAAUGGAUCAGUAUCAUGAGUAUUGAUGUAUGUCUAAGCUAAAGUUGUGAUGUGUAGAUAGUGCAAGUUGACUAGAAGUUGACCAUGUGCAAUAAAGACAGCAAGUUGUUUAAGAAAGUCAGGAAGAUGGGAAAUGGUUGACCAUGGAAAGAAGGGGACAGGGUGUGGAGGGUAGAGCAUAUAAUAUAUAAUGGUGGGAUUGCAUCAUUGUAAGACAAUAUACACAAUGACAUGUAUAUUAUUGUAGAAAGCAAGAAAUGUGUAAAUUAAGACACAUAUAUACAUAUAAAAAAGGCCGUGUGGCAACACCAAAGCCUAUAUAAAGUUCCUAUAGUGCAUGUGUUGUUGAAGUGAACUGAGGUUAGAAAAUAGUAAUAUGCUUGUAGGGAUCUCUAGUCAUUAUUAAGGAUAUCCUUCACAGUUGGCUUCCACUCGCUUAGGUGAAGAUUUGUCCCUUUGCAUUUUGUUAGGACAUAAAUAGGCUAAAUUCCAUACCCUUCAUCAAUUUUGACUUAGUUUUGACUUACAACUAAAAUGUCUUAUUCUAUGAACUGUGUUCUCUAAUUAGUAAAUCCAUGAUAUAUUUUUUUUAUGGUUGCUUUUUCAUCACACUUCUAUCGAUAUAAAUAAAUAAUUUAAGGAAAGUAGAUUCAUUGAGAUAAUUUUUUUUUUUUUUUUUGCAAUAAAGAAGAUAUUUCUUAUGGUCAAUCAAGUUCAAGUAGAGGCUCAAUUAGAGAAAAAAAAAAGAAGAAGAAAAAAAAAAAAGACAAUGAACUAUAGUGUAUGUUUAUUGAAAACUUAUUGCUUUCUUGAUUACUCAAUAAACAAAAUGAUUGGUUUUUGGGAAACAUAAGGUUGAUCACAUUCACAAUAACCUAGUGUGUAUGUGGAAAUGUGUUUGUGUCACAGAAACGGCAGCAUAAAAGUUAGCGUAUGUUUCCAAGCAAGUUUGGAGGAUAUUGCUACCUGCAAAUGUAGAUUUCUUUAAUAGAGAAUGAAGUGUUUUAUCCUUCAGAUUUUGACAAGAUGCAAUAAUAAUAAUAAUAAUAAUAAAAGGCAAAGUUGUUACCAUAAAUUGGGUGUGUUUUUAGACUAAUAAUUUACGAGUGUUAGGAUUGCAUCCAUUUUGUGUAGUUUACUCUAAUCUAACAAAACAACAAAGUUAAUUAGUUUAGUAGUAACUAAGAUGAGAGAGGUAAAAAUCUCUUUUUCAUGGAUGCUAUAACUCAAAAGAGAAAAAAAUUUAAAAUAUUCAUAUUAUUAAAAAUGUCAAAAACAUUUUUUGUAUUUUCUUUUACAAUAAGUUUGAAGCAAAACUAUUCUAUAUCUGUCCAUCUUAGCAUGUUAUAUAACUUAUAAGGCAUACUCAACAGAUAAACAACCCUGCUAUACUCUUGAAAGUGAAUAAAAAAUGGAUUUAAGUUAACGAUGCCCCAUCAGUGUGAUUUUAUGAGGUGUGUGUAUUAGCAAAGAGAGAGAGAGAGAGAGAGAGAGAGAGAGAGAGAGUGUGUUUGAUAGUGACUGAAAUAUGCCAAGACGUGGCCAUAAAGUGCCAAAGAGCAAGUCAUUGGAGCAGACCCCAUCGAUUCGAAUAGUCCACAUCUUACUUAGGCACUUAGCCUUAGCCUCUCCCUCCCUUUAAUUUCAACUUAAUUAUUUCUCUCUCUUUAUUUCUUUCUGAGUUACUCCCUCUCACUCACUCACUCUACGCUGGUCUCUCUUUUAACAAACUACAAAAAUUAAAAUGAAAUAAAUUAAUAAUUCCAAGUCUAUUUUGUUAUUAUUACCCAUGACUCGUCUUAUCAUCCAUGCCAGUUCCCCCCGCACAGGCAGCUAACACUAACAACCUCUUUUUUCUUUUUUAUUCCUUUUUAUAAUAUUGCAUUUAUUAAUUAUAAUAAUUAUUGUUUUUGUUUGGUUAGAUUUAGUUAUUACAUGCUUUUACUUAGCAUGUCUAUUACUUCAUCGCUUUAAUAAUGGAUUUCUACGACUUGGCCGUAAUUUAGCAAAAAUAGGCCACUGCAAACCCCAAUGCCUUUCCUACCAAUAACAAAAAAACCCCACUCUAUUUCUUUUCUUUUCUUUUCUUUUUUAACUCUUCUCCCCCCAUCUUCAAUUCAAUGGUGCUGCCUCCUCUUCUUCUCUAAAACACUUUGGUUUCUUACUCUUUCUCUUUGGGCCCCAAUAUUCUUUUUUUUUUUUUUUAAUUUCUUUUUAUUAUGGGUGAAAAAGGUGAAACUCCACAACAACAAGAUCACUAUGAUUCCUCUUCUCCUAAAGACCCACUUGAUGAUUCUUUAGAAACAAGGUCUCACGGCGGUAGCCACCACCACCACGGCCACCACCACCACCUCCACCGUCGCCAUCAACACCAACAUCAUGAUUCCUCUCUCAUUGUUGCCACUCCUUUUAUCUCAACGCCACUUUAUCUUUCCACUACAACAACUUCAAAUACGACGCCGUUCGAAGCUGUGAACCCAAAGCGGACUAGAUACACGGCCGGCCAAUGGAAGCUUCUCCCAUCUCCGACCACCUCUCAGCCGGCGAUACCUGUGGUUGGUAGUGAUUCUAGUGCAUCUCCGUCGCAGCGUCGUCCGGGUGCCACGUCAAAUGUUGGCCCCGCGUCUUCUUCGGAUACAACAUCAUCUCCUUCUCAUUCACCGCUGCCGGCGAGAAGUAAAGGAGAAGGGGAAUCUCAAAAUCAGGCACAAUAUAGGAAGGGAAAGUAUGUCAGCCCAGUUUGGAAACCCAAUGAAAUGUUGUGGUUAGCUAGGGCUUGGAGAGUUCAAUAUCAAGGUGGCACUAAAUUAACAACUAUUAAAUUAGCUUCCUUUUUUCUAUUCUUCUUCUUCUUCUUUUUUUUUUCUAUAAAUAUCUUUCAUUUCAAUUAAAAUAUUUUGAACUUUUUAAAUUAUUCGUAAGAUCCAACUCAUGGGUCGAUCGAAAAACUUGUUUUCAUUAAAACCCAUCAGAUAAUUUUGAAAAUUUGAAGUGUUUGGUUAUUAUAUUGUUUUGUAUUUUAAAUUAAAUUUCUCUCAUUUCGUCAUAAGUGUCAAAAACUUUUUUAAUUCACAUUAACAUCCAUCAUUUUGUAAAUUUGAAGUGUUUGAUGAUUAUAGUUGAUGUGUAAUUUUUGUAUUAUACAGGUGGUGGAUCUAAUGAAAUUGUUGGUGGGAUUGUAGUAGGUCAAGGAGGAAGAGGCAUUGGAAAAACGAGAGCGGAUAAAGAUAGAGAAGUAGCUGAGUAUCUCCAAAAACAUGGGGUUAAUAGAGAUGCAAAAACAGCAGGAACGAAAUGGGACAAUAUGUUGGGUGAAUUUAGGAAGGUUUAUGAAUGGGAAAGAGGAGGAGAGAGAGAGCAAUUAGUUGGUAAAAGUUAUUUUCGUCUUUCACCUUAUGAGAGGAAACUUCAUAGACUUCCUGCCUCUUUUGAUGAACAAGUUUUUGAAGAGCUUUCUCAAUUUAUGGGCUCUAAAAUGAGAAACAAACCAACCCCAAUUCUUCCUUUAACUACAUCCCUCCCCCCUCCCCCUCCUUUUCGAGAUCAUCAUAAUCACCUCCCUCUUCCGAGUAAGUGAUUUCAUUCAAUGAUAUUGCAGAAGUUUGAACACAUGCCUUAAAUUUAACUAUAUGUUGAAUUUAUGUAGGUCGGGCAAAAGAAGUAUUUGGAGUUGAUUAUGGUUCGGUUGAUGCGAGUUGUCAUCGUCGAAUUGGAAAAGUAAGGAUGGUAUGGGAGGAGUCAGUGAGUUUGUGGGGUGAAGAUCAAGGAGUUGGUGGUGAAGAGCAAAGAUUAGGAGGGAGGAUUAGAGUUGAAGGAUGUGGGUUUCUAAAUGCUGAAGAGCUAACUUUCUUUGAUGAAUCAAUGGUUGCUUGCACAUUGGAAUCUUAUGAUCAUGGCCCUCUUAAAGGCUUUUCUGUUGAUAGAUUUGUUUCAGGACAACAAAUCAAAGUGUUUGGCAGAAGAAAACCCCCUUCUCUUACUCCUUUUUACACUUCCACUGGUAAUUUGCAUUAUCGUAAUUAUUUUUAUAUAUUCUCUUUUCUAAUCAUUUUCCAUAUCUUAUUGAUCUAACACUUUGGCUUUUCAUUUUCAAUUGUCAGCUCCUCCUCAUAGGCUCUCUAUUCUUCACUCCACUGAACUGCCUUCAAGAUGUAAGUCUAAUUCAACAUCAUUAUUCAGUUUUUAAUUUUAUAAUUUGAAUAUCUCGAUUUUCUUGUGAAAAGCUUGCAAAUUACUUCUUAUUGAUUCUUCAUAGUCUUAGUACCUAUUAUGGAAUGACUUUCUAACAUAACACAUUUACUAUGUUCAUUUGAUUAAGUAGAGAGUCAAUUGUUGUUUAAUUAGAGAUAUCUUCUCGUGAGUUUGUUCUUAAUGUGGCUAACUUAAGAUGGUUUGAUUCAGCAAAUACUUCAUGGGAUUAUCAAGAUCCAACCGAAUAUUAUGUCGGGUGUCUACGAAUCCCACCGAUAUCUCUUCCGAGCUUAUCGGAGCUCUCAUGGCACAUACAAGACCCACCAUCGGAAGAGCUACGAUUUCCUGUUAGAAAAGACACAUACGCAUACUUACCGCAGGGUAAAGAGGUUAUGUUUACAACCACAACCGAAAUGUUAGAUUGCAAAUCAUUCAUUUAUGAGAUUAUAUGCCCUAUCAUACGUACCAACCCUUGUAUUACGACCCCAUCAAGUCGAGACUCGUUCAUAAGCCUUUGGGAUGAUUGCAUUAACCGCCUUGUUUCCGAAUUUUGUUGCAUGGAAAUGCAAUUAAUUCGUAAACCAAAUAAUGCCCCAUCAUCUUCAUCCACCACCACCGACAAUUUGCUAGAUAAAUGGCCAAAUAUAACGGGUUUCAUCAGAAAUUUUUGUUUAUGGAGAGGUGAAGAAACAGAUCAAAUCAAAGACAAUGGUCUGAAUAAUAACCCUUCUAGCUCUUUAGUGGAUAAGCUUCUUUGGACUUACUUAGACAUUCCUUAUGUAUUGGGAUACUAUGCAAUAGGUUAUUUGGUUACAUUUUGUGCACUAAGUCGUGGCCUAGAUAAUAGAAUCAUCCGAACGGAUUUGUAUUCAUUAGAUUUAUCAUCUCCAAGUGAGAGACUCAAGGCCUUAGUUCCAUGUUAUAGAAUUGGUGGGAUUCUAACAUUGUUAGCUGAGCAAUGCAACAAAUUGGGAAUUUCAAGUGAUUUUGAGAGAAUUGAUAUGGGAAAUGGAAUUGUUGUGGAAAUGACUCCAAAUUUAAUCACCAAGUUUUUCUCAUGUAGAAGAAAAUGGACGGCAGUGAAAGAGAUUUAUGACUUUUUGGAUCAAAGAAUCCCACAUUCGGAGUUCAUAAUUGGAUCAAUAGAAAAAGAUUUAGCAUUGGUUUUCAAGCCAAGGGUUUGCAAAUUGAGACCCACAAAUUACGAGCAACUAAUUGAAGCAUUGAAGAACGUAACGAAAGCACUUGUGGCCUUACAUGAUUUGUGUUUCAUGCAUAGAGAUAUUUGUUGGGAAAAGGUGAUGAAAAAAAGAAGGGAUCAUAACGAUGAAGAUGAAAAUGAAGAAGAAGAUGAAGAAAUGAAAAGGGUAAAAGGAGAAUGGAUUUUAUGUGGGUUUGAGGAGGCGGUAGGAGCCCCGCAGAUAUACCCGUACACGGCGGCGAGUGGGAGACACGCGCCAGAGAUGGAAAGGGGUUUGCAUGGAGUAAAAGUGGAUAUGUGGGGAGUGGGAUAUUUGAUUCAAACUUGUGGGUUAAUUGGGAUUCCAAAGAUGUUAAUGGAGCUUCAAAAUAGGUGUAUGGAUCAGAAUCCUGAACACCGGCCAACCGCCGCCGACUGUUACCACCACCUGCUGCAGCUUCAGUCGUCACUGUCCGGAGCAGCCGGUGGAAGUGGUGGUUUGAUGUGACAGGGUGUCUUUUUUUUCUUCCUUUUCUUCUUUUUUGUUGUUGGAUUUUGAUGGGUUUGUUUUGUUAAGAGAAUCUAAAAUCGAAUUUUCUUUUUUUACCUGAAAAUUUAAAAAAAAAAACGAAAAAGGUGAUUGAAACAAGAAGUGGGUUUCUAGUAAAAUUCCGGUCUUUCAGCUCAAGCUUCGAAAAAUGGCGGCUGUUUUUCUGGUUCUUCCCGUUUAGUUUAAUCAGAUCAAAUCAGCCAAUUUUCAGGACUGAUGUGUAAGUUCAACAGUGUUUUUUAUUAAUUUUUUUCCCCCACUUUUCUUCACACUUUUUUAGAUCAAAUCACUCCCUAUAUAUCUUUGUUCUAUCGAUGACUGUGCUUUUCAUCAAUUUAUUUACAUUCCUAAUUUCUUGUUUUUUGUUUUUUACUUUUUAUAUAAAACUAAUAAUUCUAAUGCAAAUCACAUACGUUGGAAUGUCCUUUGAAAUGAAUCUUUCCCAUUUUAUUUAAAUUCUGGGGUUUUAUUUAAAUGAUUAGAUUUGGUUGAAUUAAUUCUCCUUUGCUAAUUUAUAGUAUAUUAUAGCCUUGAUUUGACCUAUAAUUUGAGUCUAGGGUUUUCAUAAUCGUCGUACUUGUAUACUUUUUUAUCACUAUCAUUUCUGCUUUAUAUUAUAUUAUGGAAAGAACUAACCCAAAUCCUACUUUCAUUGGUAACCAGUUUUUUAUUUCUUAUUCUAUGUUAUAAGGAAUAAGAUUUAUUAAUAUCGAAUAUGUUUUGUUUUUUUCCUCAGAAAGAUAAGAUUAUGUUUGCUGAUAAUUGAUACUUACUGGUUUCUUUGCAUUCUUUGAGGUUUUUUAAAAUUUAUGAAUAUUUCAAGUUAACAAUGGUUUUUCUUUUCCAUUUUCUUUUUAUUGGAUAAAUUGUUAGUAAAUUUAGGCCAAUUAUUUUAAAUAACUAAACUGGUAAAAACCCAUAGUUUAAGAUGAAUUAGUAUUUUGUAAAUGUUUUAUAAAUAAACCAAAAAAAUUGAUUGAGAACCCAAACUUUAAUCCAUAGAAAAACAUUUUGUUUAUACAUGCCACUAUUUGAUAAUUUUAAAUUCUAUCAUGACAGUUAAAAUGCAAUUAAAAAGGCUCAUUAAAUUUUUAGUAUUGCUAACAUUAGUUGAUAUAUAUGAUAAUAAAUGUUAUUAAAUAGGUUGUAAGGUUUUUCUCCUAGGAAAAUUUGCAUUAGAUACAAAUAAAGUUAGAAAAAAACCAUUCAUAACACUAUUUUUUUUGUUUGUAUUGUAAAUUUGAUAAAUAUAACGGUAAUUAGACGAUAAUCAAAUAAUAAUCUGUCGAUAAUCUACUUUUAAAUUUGUUACUUUUAGAAUUUUGUAAUUUUGAAAAUGCAAGUUGAUUGGUUUUUAUGUAAACUCUUAAUUUUUCUUACCUACACUAAAACAAAGGUGUGUAUAGCAAUAGAAAUUUGAACUUUGAUCAAUAUCUUCUAUUUUUCGAUUAUUUGUUCAUAUUGGAUUUAACAAUAAUAAAUUAUACAGAAAAAUACAGCAUUAUCAAAUGAACCAAAAACAAUUACAGAAUAUUCAAGUAGGUCAUAAAUUAUAUAGGGCUUGUCUCUUAUAUGUCUUAUAACUUUCAACAUUAAAUUUUGUGUUAUAACUUUUCUAAAGAGUAUUUUACAUGUUCCAAAAACAAAAGAUUAAAGAAAAAAAAACCUUAGCCAUCAUAACUGCAACGACAGUAAUAUAAACAAGAAACUUAAUUUAGUAUCCUAAGCUAUUCAUUUCUUUUUCUUUUUUUUUUUUUUUUUUUGUUGGCAUUUGCAAAGAUAUGGAAAUUUAACUUUGGCUUUUCAAAUCUACGAGUGAUGGAUAGAUUUAUUUCAAAGUUUAAUUUACCUGAAAUUAAGCAUAAAAAGAAUUAGUUGGUCUUAUAAGACCCUAUCUUUUAAUUCUCAUUUGGAAUGUGUGUGAUACUGGUGGUGUGAGAACAAGUAUGGUCCUCAAGGUUGUAUAAUGUGAACCGAAAAUUCAUGAUCAUUUCCUUUUCGGAUUAAACGAUCACAUGAACUGAGCUUCGAUCUUGUCUUAAACAACUUUCAAUGAAGGUGAAGAAAAUAAAUUUUAUACAAUGUGGGUUGAAUUCAAAUUAACUAUAAUCAUAAUAACCCAUAAACCCAUAUUAUGUUUAUUAUGUUUUAUUCUUUAUAUUACAAAGUUGUCAGAUAACCAAAAGUAAAAAUCAUACGAGCUUAAUACAAUAUGAGACCUUAUUAUAUAACUUUUUUUGUAGGAGGUUUGAUGAUUCAGUAUUUAACAAAACCAAUGUUCUUUUCUAGAAAAGAAUACCAACGGUCUUUUUUUUACCCAAAUAUCUCCACUAGGUGAGUACCGUUUUAACACCUUCAUUAUAUCCAAUAAUGCAAUUAUAACAAAGCAUUGAUAUUUAGAGAUAUAUCUGUGGGUGAGUAAUUAACAAAAAAAAAAAAAACUUGCUUUUUGAAGUCCAUAGACAUGUGUAGUUGCAUAUAUCCCAUAACUUGAUUGGGGUUUGAGAGCAAUCGUUGAAAAUCCUUUUGUUUCUCUCCAACCAAAUGACCCCAUAGAACCGCAACCAUAAAAUUAAAUGGAAUAGCACAUGUUUUGGUUUUUGGGUUGAUGGUUGAAAGAUUGUUUCGAAGGUUGUAAGGAGGAGCUGAAAUGUUGUGUAAAUCUUGUAUAAUAUCAGCCUUGUUCUAGAGAUAUUAAGUUGUAGGACACUGGAUGAAUGAUGAUCGAUUGAUUCAUUAUCAGACUUACACAGUACACACCGAUUUGGACUUAGACACAUUGUUUUGAUUCUUUUUUUAAUCAAAUCAGAGAACAAAACAUCAUUAUGAAGCAGAGUUCAUAAAAAAACUUUGCAUUUUUUGGGGAUUUUGGACUUCCAUAAAUACUUGUAGUGCGAAGUCUCAUCAACCGAUAAGUUGGAAGUAAGGAUGACAUCUUUGACAAACAUAGUAGAGAAAGCAUCGUGGUUGUUCAACUUCCAUUCAUGUUUGUUUAUACCUAUGUGGCUAGAUAUUCUAGAAAAAGAUGCUUUGAUUGAUUUCCAAAUAUUGAUUUCUCUGUCGUUUAAAAGGUCUUCUAGUCUUUAUAUCCCAAUCACCAAUAUCAUCAUUCCAUACAUCUGCAAUCGUUUCAUUAUUGAUUAUCAUUGAUAGAGGAAAUAGUCUUGAAGCUUUAAUUUUCAAUGGUAUUUCAUUAUUCCAAUCACCAUGCCAAAAGUCUAUAUAUUUUCCAUCGUUCACUUUCCAAUCUCAUUUUGUUAUCAAACGAAUAUAACCACCUUGUUUGAAUAGUAUUUCUAAAGUAUUUUGUAACUUUUUUUUAAUGAUGGUAGUGGGGUGCAAACUAGAGCUCACCUAUUUGCAAAUAUAGCUUUAUAUAAUAUGUAAUUGUAAUUGUCUCAUUCUUUACGUACUUUUUUUUUUUAGAUUUAAUUGAAUGAAAUCUAUUAGUUAUAGACUUUUAUCAACUAAAAUAUAUAUAAUAGUCUAUUAUUAAGCAACAUUUUCUUUUAGUAAAAGAAACAUUUGUCUCAUAGAGUUAAGUUGUUAAGUUGCAUGAUAGUAAUUAGAAUGUAGUUAGAUAAUUGAACUAAAAGUUUGUAACUUACAGAAUCUAUUAGUAAAUUAUUUAACUUCUAUUAUUAUGAACGUGAUAAUGUAUAUUAAAUCAUUUAAUAACACUAAUAUACUAAUAUAUUAGUCAUGCAAAGGAUUCUAACAUUGAUGGAAUAAUUUGUUGACUCAAUUGAAGCCUUCAUUCAAAAACAUUAAAAUAUGAAUUUUGUAAUUGUAUAUUUAAAAGUAAUGAUAUUAUAAAUUGUGUGUAGAUACAUAUUGGUUAUAUAAAUGAUAUGAGUGAUAUUGAUAUACUAUUGGGUAGAUAUAAGUGAUAUUGGUGAUAUGAUUUAGGUAGAUAUCACAGUGAUUAAUUAAGGUGGUUAAGUAGAGAUCAAUUAUAAAAGUUAAGUAGAUAUUGGGGAUAUGAAUGCCACUGUUUAAAAUGAUAGACUUAAAAAAUCAUGAAUUUUGUGCCCUUAAUGGACUUAGCUUUUUGGAGAUUCUCAAUGAGUUGUAGGCUAAACUUUGGGCCGGUAUGCGUCGAGGUUUAUAGUAAAGCCCCAUCAUCCGAUAGUCCACUAUGAGGUUUAUAUACACCCAUCCAUACUUCUACCCAAUCUGGAACACUCCUACGUACUCUUUUAUAUAUAUGUAUUCACAUAUUAGACUAAUAUAAAUCUUUAGGUCAUAUGAUGUGGAGUAGUAAAGUAAAAUUCUAUGUUAAAAGCUUUAAAUUAAAGAAUGGGGAAUCAAAAGAAAUGCAUAUAGAAUUUCAAUCUUAGCAUAAAAUUUAAUGUUAAUUAAAGAUACCCUAACUGGAUUAGAUUAUGUUAUAUGUAUGAGUUCAAUAUAUAUCUUUGAAUAUGCGAAGGGGAUAAGUACUGCAACUAUUUAUUUAUUCAUUCAUUAAAUUUUGUGUCUAACGUUAGUAAUUAGUCAUGGUUCUUAAUUCAAGUAAAAAUACAUCUAACUCGUACGAUUUUAUUCAUUUAGACAAAACCAAUUAUCAGGAAACCAUAUAGUAAGUUAGAGCAUGAGCCACACUCUUUUUCAGCUUAUAUCUUCUUUUGCUAAUCCUAAUUAUUAAGAUAAAACCAUAAAUUUGUUCCUUUAAUUUUCUUUUUUUUAUCUUUUUAUAUUUUUAUCUUUUUAUAUCUUGUGUUGUGCUAUUGACUCUCUAAUUUGUUUUGAAUAUAUUUUCAAGUGUUUAAUGUAAAAAAUAAGUCAUUUUAGACCAAAUUUAAUUGUUUAUUACCUAUUCAAAAUAACUUUAAAGAGGGUAUUUUAAAUCGAAUUAACUUUUAUUUAUUAAGGAUGUUUGAAUAAAAAUGAAUAUUUUUUAAAUAGUUAAUUUAAAUGACCUUUAAUUCAGCACUAGCCAUUCAUUUUAUUUGGUAGAUUAUUUUUUUAUUCUAAGCUAGAAUACGUGAUUAAUAAUAUUAAUAGUAGGAAUAAUAAUAAUUUAAAUUUCAAAAGUAAAAUAUAUUUAUAAAAUAUCAAAAUACAAAAACAAAUAAUAAAAUUGCAAAGAUAUUUAUUGAAGAAAAGUAAAACCUCGGAUCCUCAUAGUUUGAAGUCAAAACGCAUAUAAAAUACAACCUAAUGUGUUAUUUAAAAAAAUAGAACAACAAAGUCUAGUGAAUGAAACACACAAAUAAGGAGAGAGAGACAACUUAAAUAAGGUAGCCCCAUGAACACAAAUGACUAAAAGAACAAAAUGUACCACUUGUAUAGUUUCAAUCAAUACUCUAAUGUACUUAGAAUAGUUGAUCGUAUCAAUCAAUGCUCCAAUCUACUUAGAGCAAUAUACCGCUUGUGUAGGAUAUAAGGUAGCUCCAUGAAUACAAAAUAUUAAUAUAAUUGAUUGUCCAUACUAAAAUCAUAUAUCUAAUCAAGCUUAUUGUUAUUGAAAUAUCCUAUAGAAGUAACCUUCCCUGCAAUAGCAUAUUCCCUAAAUAACAUGACUAAAAGGGGCAAUUAAAAUACAAAAAAUUUGCCCCUUCAAUCUCUAUAAUUUAUGGGUUCGGGAGAAAAAAUUGGUCACAUAAUUUACCGUGAACCAAAUUUAAACUUAUCCAAACUUAGGAGGAAGUGGUACGUUGUCCUAAAAACUCACUUAUUUCUCUAAAUAUCAUCAUUGCUUCUUCUUCCAGGAAAGUUUUAUGACUUGCAAGUAUUCUCUGCCUCACUGCAAAAUUAUAAAUAUGUAACUAAAUUCGGAUGAUUUUGUAUUUUUAAUAUUAACUAAAUUGGGACAUUUUUAAUAUACAUUAACAAAACCCUAGGCCUAUAGGUACACCUUAUCCUCUUUAUUUCUUUUUUCCUUGAAAAUUGAGAAUUUUUAUUCAGAAUUUGUAACUACGAUACUCAUAAUUUGUCAUCGAUCACUUGUAUUAUGUGAUAGAUUUAUUUUCUCUUGCGCCUAAAAUUUACUUUCACCAAACACUAAUUAUUUAUUAUUUUCUUUUUAGAACAACACUAAUUAAUCUUUUGUUGUUAAAGAACAAAACCCAUAUUAAGAAAGCUAAGCGUUUUGCACCAAUAUCAGAAAGAUAGGUCAAGUGUGGCUGUGAAGAAAAUGAGAAAAUUGAUUUCAUAUUUGUUGGAAGUUAGGCAGAGGGAAUUUAAAUAUCAUUAUUGUGUUUGUUUGUGUGGUUGCCUAAGAAGAGUUGCAAAUCGAGAGAGUUGAAAUGGAAAAAUGAAGUUCUUACUCCUAAACGAAACCAAAGAAGAUCACAUGAACGAGUUCUUUCUGAUCCAAAACACAGCUGUUCUUUUUUGUACUUUUUCCCUACAACCAAACUUUUUUCUAAAAAAAAUAUGUGUAUAUAUUGAAGGUAAAAGGAAUCAACAUGCAUUGGUACUCACUUUAUUGCAUUUACAUGCAUUGGUACUUGUUUUUCAUUGUUAUCCCUAACGUUUUCCCCCCUAUCGUGCAUGUCGUCCUUUUCAUGCUAGAUACACAUCCAUUUAUGGAAUAUAUAGAUCCUCCUUUUGCAUGAAAUUUGAAAACAAGAUUCUUUGAUUUUAUCUGGUUAUGUUUCAUCUUUUCAAAUUUCUGUUUAGUAGACCUAAUUCUUAAAUUAAAUUAUAACUUAAGCUAUUGUUUACAAUGGGUUUCAUAGUGUACGUUUAUAAAUCCUAAUACUAUUAAUUAUAAAUCCUAAUACUAUUAAUUAAUUUGUUUAUGAAUAUCAUUUUAGUUAACAAUAUUUAUAUAAUAAUUAUUUUUUUAAUAUCAUUUCAUAAAAAAUUGUCAAAAAUAAAAAAUUUAACAAAAUAUUUAUAAAAUAUAGCAAAAUUUCAAAUUCUAUAAAUAAUAGACACAAAUAUAUUUUUAUUAGUGACAUUAAUAGACAAUAUUAACAGUUUCAGUUUCUAUCAUCCAUAAAUCUACAUUUUUGUUAUAAUUUUUAAAUAUUUUAGUUUAUUUUACUAUAUAUGAAAAUGCUUGCAUAGAUUAUAGUUUAUAUAUAAUGAAAUAUUUUUUAAAUAUAAAAAAAUAAACUAAAAUCUUUACAAAAUAUAGUAAAAUAUCACCAUCUAUUUAUCUUGGAUAAAAUUUGACAAAUUUUGUUAUAUUUAAUUUUUUUUUAAAAAUGUUGCUAUGUACUUAAUUAUGUUAAAUCUAAUAGCUAAAUUUGCCAUUAUCCUUUAUUUUAAUUUAUUUAGUUUGCCUUUCCAAAUGUAUCCAUAACUUUGUCGAUCUCAAUCUUUUUUACUAAAUAAAUAAAUAAAAUUAAGGUUAGGAUGAUUUUUAAUUUUUGUGAUUAUGUAUAGAUUAAGUUACAAAAAUACCUAGAUAAAAAAUAUCUUUCAACUUUUAAAAGUUAAAAAAAAAAAUUAAAAUACCCUUUAACAUUAAAAAGUGAUUUAAAAAAAAUACUUUUAGCAUUAGUUUUGAACAGAAAGGUUAAAAUUUUGUUUACAAAAAUAUUGUUACCCAAUCACCUAAUUUUUCACCCACCAAAAUCUUAAGUUAAAACAAUAGUUCUAAAUUUAUUUGACUAUUACAUACAGUGAUAGAUCAUAAUUAAUCCCAAUAGAUACUUUUUAAUACAUAAACUUAAUUGUCAAAUAAAAAAAUCUAUUUCCUAUUAACAUAGUCAAUAAUAUAAUGUGAAAGAUCUUUCAUUGUAAUAUUUUGUUUAUUAUUGAUGGUUUGUUUUAGAAUGUUACAAGGAGAGUAAUAUAUAUAUAUAUAUAUUAGAUUUGGUGGAAUUCGAUGCUUCUAACCAAAGUUUAAAUAAUAUCAACGUUGAGAUUGUAGCGUAAUCUUAAUUUUACAAAAUUUCGAUCAAUAAUUUCAAAAAAAAUAUAAAAACAAACGAAUACCGAUAAUAAAUUUAAGUUAGUAAAUAAAUGUGUUAUUAUUUUCAAAAUUGAUAGUCAUGUCUAUUGUUUAUAUUCUACUUAUACUGUUGUCAUUUUGAUAUUUAUUUUUUGUGAUUUAGUGAAUUUUUUUACUAUAUUACAUAUAGAAAUAUCGAUUCACCUCUUUAGUAGAUAUUAAAUCCAUAAAAAUGUGAAAAUAUUGAAAGAAAUAUCGACGUAGCAAUGUAAAUUUAAACUAUGAUCUUAACUUACAAAGUUGAUUUUUAUUUGGAGUGGUAAGAAUUUUUGUUUAAAAAUUGGAUUAAUUAGAAUACUUUUUAAAAACUUAUUUUGAGUUUCAAGUUUAAAAGGAUAUUUAUAAAAAAAUUUAAUUAGCUUAGUAAAGGUAUCUUACACAACUUUAAUGGUAUCCAUCUAAAAGUCACAUAAGAGUAUAUUUAAAAUAUUUUUUGGAAAGGUUGAGAACAUUUUUUUAUACUAUUAAAAGAGUUUAGAGGUAUCUUGAGCACAAGCACAAAUUGAAGGAAUAUUUUAUAUAUUUAACCUUAAAUAAUAAUACAAUAUGGUCUUUUUUUUAUUUAUUUCAUGAUUUAUCUUUACAAUCUUUUGUAAAACAAAUAUAUAUAUAAUAUUAUCUUUAGGUGAAAUAGCUAGAAAUUAUCUAUAACACAUAACAAAACUUGUUAUACACUAUGUUGCAAUAAUUUUAAAAGUAUGAAAGAUCAAAUAUAGAAAAAUAAUAAAGCAAGAAUAUAUUUCAAAAAGUUAUUUCUAUUAGUGAUUGCCAAACACUAGAGUUUAUUUUCAAAAUUAAACAUUUAAAAUUUUAACUCAAAUGCAUCCUCAAUAAUAUUUGGAGAAAUACUCAAGAUGGAUAAUAGUGCAGAAACUUUGGCAAUCAUAUAGAUUGACUCACCUGUGUUUUUCAACAUAAACAUAAAACAAUAUGACACAAUGAUUCUUCAACAUGAUCACCAGCCUUAAAAAGAGAAUAGCAUUCUCUUGAAUAUGCACAAAAGAGAGAGAGAAAUGAAUCCAAAACCAGCAAAGACAACAUUUAGAAGAAAAGAAAUCUACAAAAAUAAAGAAUUCAAUUUUCGAGAUAAUUAAAGAAGAUAUAUUUGUGAGAAUCUGCUAUUCAUGGGACAACUCAUAAGUCUGCAAAGAACAACUGAUAGUAGAUCUUAAGGGACAAAAAUGCCACAAAAACAUUUUAAAAUAUUACCAACACACCAAAUCCUUUGACACUUAGAAAGUCUGCAUCAUAUAGAUUCUCCAGUUUAUCUUUAUCAUACGUGCACUUGUUUAUAUUCUUUCAAAUAUCACCUAGGUAAAUAAUUAACUUUGAUAAAUUACAGGUGUAGAGAUAAUAUUCAAAUUCCCAUUUUCUUUCUCUGACAAAAACAUAUAACAAGAGGAACAGCCACCUAAUGUUGUGUGAAAUGUGGAUAAAAUUUUGUUAUAAAAUUCGUGUGUGUGGUUCAUCAUUUUUUUUUAAUAUAUGAUACUUAAGAUUUGGAUUCUAAUUUUUAUUUGGCAUGAAAGUUUGAAAAUGUUAUAGUUUUUUAAGAUUGGUUUCAAUUUAGUUUUUAGAUUUGAAAAUGUUACCAUUUUAGUUUUGAGAUUUUAUUUUUAUUUCAAAUUAAUUGGAACACUACACUUCAAUAUUUACAUACUCGUUUUUUUUUUUCACGUUAUUGUGUACUAUUAAUUAAUUUAAAAUCAUUAUGAAUUUUGAUUUUAAAUUUUUUAUCAGUGAUGAAAAAUUAUAGUGAAAAUUAAUUAUAUAAUAAUUAUUUAAAAAUUAAUCAGUAGAUAUUUAGCACUAAAGAACUAAAGAGGGAAACGGAGUAUAUAGUAAAAAAAAAAAGAAAGUUAAAAAGGUGAAAAUUUUGAAACAUAAAGAAUAAAAAUUGAAAUUAUAAAAUUCAAAAGUUCCAAAGCUUCCUUGGUAAAGAUUAUUAUCGUUUCUACCUAUAUGAAAAGGGUAAAAUAUACUUAAUAUAUGAUCUAUUUUACCCAAUUAUUUCUUUUAACAAAAAUCAUAAACCUCACUUCAAAUAUUGUUGUAAUCGCAAUUUCAAACUUUUAAUUAUAAAAAUUAGACCAUCACUUAAUUAAAUGUAAAAAUUGAACUCUCGAUCAAGCUUACAAACUAUAACAAUCAUAUAAACUUAGGGUUCAAUUGUUAUUAUUUGAACCUAAAAUUAUUUAUACUGUCAUUAAUUUGAGAGAGCAAUUUUAAAGCUUGUAGAAGUUUAAUAGCACAGUUUCUACCUUUGAUAGUUCUCAGUCCAUUGAAAUGCUCCUAAAGAAGAAGUGAUGACUUAAGAUUCGCAUUUUUCAAAUAUAACAUUACAAACCAAAUCAUGCAGGUUAUCACGUUCAUCGAGUAUCGAAUCUGUCAUUAAAAAUACAAUCUUCCAUUUGGAAAUAUGUCAUUUUUUCAGGUUAGUGUAAGAAUUCAACACGAUCAUAGUUAUCACAUUCGUCAAGUAUCUAAUCUUUUCAUCUUUUUCUAAUGUCAUUCAGAUGUUAUGAAAUUAAAUUAAUCUUCACUCAUCAGCUUAAACUGUUGGAUCAAUCAAUGAACAAAUAUUAUUAUAUAUCGAAUAACUAAAUCUUCUCAUCUUUCUAUCUAGCAAGGUUAUUCUUUCUUGAUAGAAUGAUUUCCAUAUAAUUAAAUUCACCUUGACCCAUUAGGUUAAACUUUUAGGUCUUACUAAUUAAAACUUUUUACACUUAACAAGUAACUUAAUUUUUUUGUUUUAUAUUUAUUAAAAUUUUUAUCUUAUUAUAACUAUACACACAGGGGAAGAUUUAUUAAGGGGUCGGAGCACGUGCCCCUUCAUUUUUACAUUUUAAUAUUAAUUUUAAAUUGUCAUAUUAUAAAAAAUAUUAAAUAAUGUCUUAUUUUUACUAAUUUUUGGUUCUGAUAUAGCGGUUGUGUCCCACUACAAAACCGCCAGGUUAAGGGUUUGAUUCAUGCCUAUUAAAUCAUUUGUAUCAACUAAUUUUCUAAUUUUCCCAAAUAUCAAAUUUUAUUUUAUUUUUUUUUCAAAAUAUCAAUUUUCUUCUUAAAUUUUAAUAAUCACUUAAAAGGAAGAUAAUUUUUUAAAAAGAAAAAAAACAUAUCUAACAUAAAACACUGACUUAUUUCUUAGAUUGCAUUUGUAUUUAACAAAUAUUAAUUUAGAAAAAAAUGAAACAAAGUCAAUUAUCCAAAAUUUCACUAUUUUUUAAUGUAAUUUUUAAAUCUACACAUUUACAUUACAAAAAAUAAUGUGAAAAUUAUCGUUCUAUAAAUGUAGUGAAUGUUAUUGAAACAUUGAGAUUUUUUAUAUACAUUUUUUUGUAUGUUUAUUAUAUAGUGUCUUUCUAUAUAAAAUUUAUGGAUUUCAUGGGUGUAUACUAAACAAAAAUUUAUUAGGUGUGGAUAAAUUUCUCCUAUCAAAAUUGAUUAUACAGUCAUUUAUGUCUAUUUGGUUCUUUUUUUAACAUGGAGUACGCAAUUUUGAAUCUGAUAGAGAUAAGGAAAGAGUGCAUGCAUUCUCUAUAUAUGUAUAUCUUGAAGAAAAACGGAAGUUUAUUAAAUAGAAAAUGGCACUUGUACUCCAUGCAUGGUGGAGUGAUGAUAUAGAAACCGUCGAAAAAAAGUCUAACAAAAAGAAAAGAAAGAGCCAUGCAUGGCAAUAAAUUAUAUGAACCCUUCAAGAAAUCUCAUUAAUGGUAUGGUAGUCCAAAUUUAAUUAGUUGUAUUUUCAAAGAAAAAGAAAAUGUCAUUAAAAUCAUCCAAUUUUGAAAUUUUAUGUACGAAAAGAAUAUACAAAUUCAACUGGUUAAAAUAUAUUUUCAUUUAAAUCUCCACCACACCAAUUUAGAUAAAUACAAAUAGAAAAGCAAAAAAAACCAAUGUUACUAUGAGUUAUAUUUUAAUAGUUAAACUACAAGUUAAUUAAAUUUAUCAACUUUCCAUAAGGUUAAACAUGCAUGUUUAAUUGAUUCUUAAAUUUUAAAACUUUAUAUGAGUUUCAAAUUUAACUUUUGUUCUAAGAGGUUUUUGACAUAUUAAAAAAAAGUUUACUAUUGUAUAGAUGUAAAUUUAAAAUUUAUGUUAAAUAGAACUUAAAACUUACAAAUUUUGUGUUUAAUAGGUUGGUGUCUUUUUUCAAAAAGAAAAUUAGAAAAUUUAUAAAUCCAUUGACUACAAAACUUACAUGCAGAACUUAUAUAUUUGUAAUUUGCUAGUUUUAGCUUAUUGUACAAUACAAUUUCUAAACAGGGUAUGUAACUGUGCAAAUAGUUAUUUCCAUGAAUUAACAAUUGUUGUAUGAAAAAAAAAAAAAAAGAAUUUACCAAAUAUAUCUUUGUCUUAAGUUAUAAAACUUUGUUAAAAAUAAAAGUAUGAUGUGAAAUAAAACAAAUUUCCAGCUGUGUUACAAAUAAUCUCUAUUUCAUUCCAUAUAAUAAAAAAAUAGGAUGAUAUAUAUACAUGUCAUUUGACUUUAAAUCAUGUCAUGAAUGUUUAUGCAUCAAAAGAUAGUAAUUAAACUUGGGCAUAUUCCAAUAAUCCGACAAAGGUUAAGUAUUUCUUUAUUUAAAAAAGAAAGAAGAAGAAGAAGAAGAAAAGGAAGAGAUUUUAAUUUGAAGAGACAGAAGAAAAAGGUUGGUUGAAGAUGACAAAAACCCUAAUUAGAUGAAGAGAGGAUAUGGACAAAGAUUUGAGCAAACGUUUUCAGAUAUUAUAUUCCUGAAAAUAUGGCAAACUUCGGUGCUUUUGUUGGGCCCUUCCCUUUUUCCAUUCAUGUUAUCAUCCCACCAACCCUUCCACAUUUCUUUCUUUCAAUAUAUAUAUAUAUAAUCUUUUUAAUUUGCUAUAUUUUGGUAAAUUAUUAGACCAUUUUUAAUUCUUUUUAAUUUGUUAUAUACUUUUUAUAAUUCUUUUUGUUCGUAAACAUCUAUAAAGGUUGGGACAUAAGAAUCCGUAGAUAUAUACCUGGAAAAAUGUCGAAGCCGAUAUGGGGAAUUCAUACUGUGAGAGAUGAAAAUUAAAUGAAUUUUUUUAUGAAAAAGGAGGGAAAUAGAAAUGAACUGAAUUCAAGAAGGUUUUUAGUGGUGUUACUAGCAUAAAUCUUUGAAAAUUGUUUACAGUUUGAAAUAUAAUGAAGAUUUUGCAGAUUAUGGAGGAGACAACAGUAUCAGUUUUUGUUUCCCGAGGGAAUUUCAAGAGUCAGUAACUUUGUUCACCAUAUGGGCCUUUCUGAAAUUUGCUUAGCAUAAAACAUCAAAUAAGUAUGAAAAGAAAAAAAAAAAACAAUACAAAAUAAAAGUUAAUUCGAUGUAUUAUUAUUAUUAUUUAAACAAAGUCCACUAAAAAUUUGCUACCGUAAAUAAACCGGGAGAUAUGAUAGUAUGAAACUUUCAAACUCAGGCUUGAAUUCCUCAGAGAUGUAAAAUUUUUGUAUUUGGAUUAUAAGCCAAUAAUGGGUGUGUUGGACAAUUGUAUGGCCAUAAUGAAAGAAGAAAAGCUCACAUUUCCCGAUCACUCACAUUUCUGACCUCAACUUUAAACUUCUCUUGAAUCAUAUUUGCUGUACAAAAGUUGGAAUCAAAAUAAAUUGAAAAUAACAGAAAUAAAGAUAAAGAAUAGAGAGAAUAUAAUUAAUUUUAAAUUUUGUCAAUGUCUACCGUCUAUCACUUAUAUAAUCUGAAAAUUGUUAUAUUUUGGAAAUAUUUUCAUUAUAUUGUCUAAUAAUUUUCCAUAAUUUUACAUAAAAAAAUUUAAAAUAAGUCGGGUUGAAACUUAUGAACAAAAAUAUAGAAAUUCACAAACUUUCUUUUCUAUACAGGAAAUAACGAACUUUAUUUAAAAAGAAUUCAAUAUAUCUAUUUUACGAUUAUCUAUUUUGUCUCAUUCAAAGAAAUUUGACUAUUAUCAACCCAUAAAUAAAAACAAUAAAGCCUUCAGUACUUUGUCUCUUGACCAGUCUGAUCUCAUGGAACUAGGGUUUUUUUUCUUCACUAUUAUGCUUUUUUAGAAAAGUUCUCUUCGUCGUAGGCAUAGAUAUAUGUGAAAGAAAAGUGUCAUGAAUGUCCAAUUUUAUGUCAAUAUAAUAUAUCUAUAUAUAUGAGGGCUAAAUUUUCAAAUUGUUUCUUUUUUCAAUUGAGUUGGUGGGUCUAUGAUUUGGUGCAAAGGUUGUGGGUCUCUCAAAAAGCUUUAAAGGGUAAAGUUACUUUGAUGUGCCCUCCCAACUUUACGUUAAAAGGAUCCUAACACCUUUCUUCACAAAAGCAAAUACACACACACACACUUGAGAGACGAUUUCAUUUGAAAGAAAUAGUAAUUUUAUAAAGUCUGUGUGUGUGAAGAUACAUUUAAGGUAAAAUUUUAAAAUAUUACCAACUUCCCAUAAUCACUAACAAUAUUCAGAUAUCUAUACUUACACUUAUUGUCCUGAAAAAAAGGUACAUGAGACAUAAUUUAUUUGGUUAUGAAAUUAUUAGUUAUUUAUCUUUUUAAGAGGUUAGGAAUUUGCAAUUUACCUCUAAACAGAUAAUUGUUUUUUUUUUUUAAUUAUUAAUUUACUAAAACUAUAUUUUAAAUAAACACUUUUGGCUUAAUGAGAAUAUAAAGUUGGAUAUUUAUUAGCUUGUUGAAAAAUUAAACUAAACAUGUUUGUCCUGUUUGGUGAUGGACUUUAGAAAAUUAUGUUUUUAAAAAAUGUUUUUCUCAUUUCAACAUUUUUUUCUAAAAAUUCCUUUAACAAUAUUUUUUCAAAGAGUGUUUUUAGGUAAAUUAAUUUGCUUUGGUAUACUAAAAGUAUUUUUAUAAUUUCAAAUUAUAAUAAAAGAAUCUGACUUUCGAGGUUUUAAUAGCAGUUGACUAACAAUCAUUCAGGAUGGUGGUCGAAGGUGGUCGGCAACAAUCACUGUAAAAUGGUAGCCAAAAGGUUAGCGACAAUGGUUGUCGAAAGUCAGUUGAUGGUGGCCAUCGAAAAACUGUGUUGUUGGCAAUUGAUGAAUAACGAACACGAAAAAAUAGUCGACGAAAGUAAGCCGACGAUGAUCACCAAGUUGUUGUGGGUAAAACAGUCUUCAUAGGUUGGCCAAAAGUUGUUGUGGGUAAAACGAUAUAUGAAAAUUGGUUAUCGAUGAUCAUGUGAAAAACGGUGGUCAAAGGCUCAUCACUGAUGUUGGUCGUUAAAGAGGUUGGUUGAAUGUUGAUCGACGACAAUCGACGAAAACAGUUAUACUAAGAGAUUGGAUGACAUGGAUAAUAAAAGGUGGUGAUCAUGUAAGUGUUGAUCGAAAUAUUUCAUACAAAUUAGAAAGAUUAACCAUUAAGCACUCAAAAUUUGUUUCCCUACAAGAUGAGUUGAAGUGUUUAUCUUCAACCAAAUAAUUUUAUAAAUUCACUUUUUCAAAAUCCAUUUUACCUAUUGCAUGAGCUUUUUCAAAAUAACUUACUUUUAAUUUUAUCAUUUAAAAAUGCAAUCUAAACACAGCAUUUUUAUUAUAAUAAUAAUAAAGCAUUUCUAUUAUAAUAAUAAUAAAAAGUCAUAUAAUAUUAUAUGGUGGGUUUAUGUAGAAAAGUAUAAUAAUACUUUUGAUUAGUUUUGGAACAAAGUAUUUAAAUAUGUUUGUUUAUCCUCUUUGCCCUCUCUCUCUUCCAAAUUCAUCGUGGAAACAUAGCACAUCACCUCACUUCAAAUGAAAAGGCUUUUAAAAGAAUAUAAUAAAGAAAUGGCACAAAAAAUAAAAUAAACGUACAAUUAUAUAGUACUCGUAAUUUUUUUCUUUUAUAUCUUUCGAUAAAGUGACAAAUAUUUGAUGUAAAAUGCAUGGCGGGAGAGAAAUAUUUUCUUUAAAAAAACAAAUUAAUAUCAUAGUCAUGCACCUAAACUUAACCACGCCAAUAUUCCAAACAUGCUUCGUUACAAUAAUACGUUGAACUCAUGGAAUAGUUAGUCUAGUUAAAACCGAAUACAAAUAAAGUACUAUUUAGAGAAUAGUCUAACUGAUUUUUGUUCUAAAAAUUGUUAGCAACACAACAAAAGAAGGUUUACAUUAACGAAAAAGAAAAAUAUCGUCAACAUAUGAGUGAAUGACAAUGUAAUUAUUUUGUUUUUAGUACAACAGUUGCGAAAAUAAAGUUCAAACAAGUGAUGUGAAAAAGAAAUAAAGUAAUACGGUUAAUUUGUUUCGGAGAGAAUACUGGGGUUGGUAUUGUACUUUUGUCUUAUAUGGUUAUAAAAGAGAAAAUUACGUAUUUACCCCUAUUGUGAGGUUAUAAAUCACCCAAACUCUCCCCUUCAAAAUCAUAUUCCAAAUCUCCAGCAUAUAUCAAUAGUUCUUGGUUGUUAGCAAUGGCGACGGAAUGUAUGAUGAACUCAGGCCGGGAUUCAACACAGCGUGUGGAAUUUGGUUGCUCGGAGGAGUCGAUGGUGCCAGAGAAAUUCGUCUGGCCCGACGAGUUUAAACCAAAGGAGGGGUUGCCGGAGCUGCAAGUUCCACAUAUUGACUUGCAAAAGUUUUUAAGUGGAAAUCAAAGUGAUAUUGAAGAGACAAUAAGGUUGGUGGAUGAAGCUUGCAAAAAGCAUGGAUUCUUUUUGUUGGUGAACCAUGGAGUUGACAUGGAAUUGGUGAAAAAACUUCAUGAGUGUAUGGAGGAGUUCUUUACUUUUCCUUUUGAUGUCAAACAAAAAGCUCAAAGAAAAUUUGGUGAAAAUUUUGGGUAUGCUAAUUCCUUCAUUGGACGAUUCUCCAAUAAACUUCCAUGGAAGGAAACCUUAUCCGUUCCUUAUGUUGCUGAUCAUCAAAAAUCCACUGCUCACGAUUUUAUCUUUCAAAUAUAUGGCAAUGAACUCUCCCAUCAUGGGUAAGUAAUUUAAAUUAUGUUUCAUUAUCCCCUUGUUUCUUGAUAUUAUUAUCGUUGUAAUGUUCUGAAUCUGUAAUUUGAUACUCCAGGCGAUCGAGAGUUUAGAGGAGUUCUUCGUAAAAUCUCUCUAACAUGCUAUUCAUAUUUGUUACUCCAUAAUUUUAUUUUGUAAUUACAAUAUAUCUUAUAUCACUCUAAAUGGGAAGAUUUUCCUCUCUAUUUCCUUAUCUGCUUUUUCUUUCUCUGUUUGCAUUUGAACAUUUUCUUUUGAUGGAAUGCACAUCUUCUUAAUUUGGAAUAUGAUGUGGAUGCUAAGAAUAUAUCAAUUAAGUUGAAAUGUCUGGAUGCACCUCUUCAUCCUGCUUAAAAAAGAAAUUUUCUAAUUUCUACCUACCUAGCUAACACAGUGUUAUCAUUUUUAAUAUUAAAUAUUUGGUUUUUCCUUUAAUUGUUUGUUGCAGGAAGGUGUAUCAGGAGUGUGGAGAAGUAUUGAGUGAAUUGGGUUUGAAGAUAGUGGAGCUUUUGGGGUUAUGCCUUGGGGUUCCAAAAGAGAAGUUCAGGAAAAUCUAUGAGGACAAUGAAUCAAUAAUGAGGCUAAAUUAUUACCCACCAUGCGAGAAGCCAGAGUUGACAUUAGGAACUGGGCCUCAUUGUGAUCCAACCUCCAUAACAAUUCUUCACCAAGACCACGUCAGCGGCCUUCAAGUUUACGUGGAUGAUGAGUGGCACACAAUUCCUCCAACAACAGACUCCUUUGUCAUCAACAUUGGUGACACGUUCAUGGUAAUAAUAAUUUUAUUGAAUUAUAUAAAUUGUUCUUUUUAUUUUUUUGUCAAAACUCAUACUGAUUAAUUUUUAAUUUUUUAAAAAAGGCACUGACAAAUGG
rnacentral:lncRNA from 1 species